CAGACCCAUGCGGGCCGAGGUCGGGCCCGCUCGGCUUCCAAGCGUCGCCGCCGCCCACCGACUGGAGCACCACCGCCUCCUUGAACCCCGGCGACGAACCAUCGCCGCCCCGGGCUCCUCCGGCCGCCGCUUCACCGCCGCCGCCCUUGAACCCGAGAGGAACAUGGCGGAAUUGAUCUCGGCCGCCGCACCUCCGGCCGCCUUCCGCCGCCGACCAGCUGUUGCCCCGGACCCCUCCGACCUGCCGCACCCUUCCCCGGCUAGAUCGCUCGCCGUCCGACCACCGCCGGCCAUGCCCUAGCUCCUCCAAGCUCCGGUAAGGCUAGUUAUGUUCCAGCAUAGUUGUUUAGGGUUCCGGUCACCUUUCUGGUGAUCCGAGGACACUCCGAUAAUCCGGGAAGUGAGCAUGAUGAUCCUUACUUCGUGCUGAACAUCGUGCUCACCUCCGUCGGGGUCAACGGUUCCCCGGUUUGCGUGUUUGACGCGAUUAAGUGACAGUGCGCGCUGUUUUGCUGAAGUUCACACUGCUUGUGCGCUUUCCACUGUGGUCGGCAGUGCUCCGAAAGGUGAGCACGGCCUCCGGCACGUCGAAACCUGUAAGUAGGUAUCUUAGCUCGGCUGAUUGACCUCUGGUUUGCGUAGACGGACCAUAAAAGCCCGAAAAACACAUGAAAUAAUGUGAUUUCUUGGAAUCGAAAGGGCUUUUAUGCAAUGUGAUUUGUCGUGGCUGCUGUUGGCAGCAUGGGUGAGCUGGGGGUGACCUCUGGACUGAUUGUCCAAGGCCCCGGACCUUUGCGAAGACCGAAAAUGUAUUUCCGGUGCGUUUGUCGGCAAAAUCCGCCUACGGAACGCGGUUUUGGUUCGGAAUGAUUCCGACGGUGCUUCGUGAGCUAUUGUGUAGUCGCUGAGCCUUAUUGGCUGGUCAUUCGCGUCAUUUCAAGAGUUCAGAAAUGACGGAUGAGCGACGGUGGGUUCCGGUGUCGAAAUAGACACUUCCGGGAACCCGGAUCCUAACAAUUAUCCACCAAUAGUUGUUUGGUUGUGUAUCCUUGUGUUUGCUGCCAUGUCACACUAAAAUAAGUGUUUAGUGGCAGCGAAUGACUCGUGGCAUGAGUCGGUGCCUCUCGGGAUAGUUAGUGGGUCCCGGCGGAGUCCCGGUGCGAUUUUUGGGACUUCCGGCGAGUUACGGUAUUCGGUAUUGGGAAACCGAUCUCCGUGGGAUUGUUUGUGGGUUAUGCUUUUACGGUUUCUUAGCUGUGGGUUAGUCACUAACCCAGUGGACCCUCCUUAGGUCCGGUUGACGUUCUUUUGCAGUCAGAGAAGACAUUGCGCGACAGUUGUACAGAUUGGUACUUCGAUCCGAAGUCAGCGUUACAGUGUGUGCACGCUCGGUGAUAUUCUUUAUCCUGUUCUUCUAUUGCUAUUUUCGUAUCUAUAUAUUGACUUGCAUCCGUUGUUUCUUUUAUCUACUCCAUAGGUUUCUAUGCUUAGUAUCAUGAUGAGGAGCUAGAGUAGUUUCAUAUGUGAUAUGUGCCUGAUUGGUCAUGGUUCUGCGUACUUUGUUCAGGUGACUAUUGGUCGCGUUCGCGUAUUUCGUUUCGGGUGACUGUUGAAUCGUGCUUUUAUCUUAUAUCCGAUUGACCUGGUUGGUCCGGCGUUGUUGCUUAUGUAUUGGAUUGGUCUGUUUUCUUGACUUCUGUGUUCUGAUGACGUUUGGAGGUCCCUGUGACCUGAGGUAGGAUUGUCGGCUGGUGCUCGGUCAGUUCUGAACUAUAUGAAUACACCCUGUACUAUCGUCGUUCUUGCGUUCGUACUUUUAGUUGACUCGGCGUUCUACAUAUUAUCUUUAUUUACUCUACCUGGUUGUUCUAUGUGUAGGCAUCUGUAUAGGGUAAGUAGAUGCAUUCGUAAUAACUAUACUUGUGACCUGUGUGGUCGGUUCUCUAUUUGCAUCGGUUGACCGUUUGGUCGGUCUCGUUACUGUUCCGUAACAUGACCUAUCGUCGGUUCACGUGUUACUGUGAAUGACCUACACGCGUAUGCCAGAGGGCAGGUAUUGUCAGCUGAAUUCGACGCGGUUGGCCUAUUGAUCAUAUCCAGCAAUUUGAUCGCCAUAACUCGAGUGCAUUCACGUACACAGCGGGUUGAUCCCCGCAGGAGGGUGUUCUUUUCCGGAAAAGUGUCGCGUACAUCCGACCGUGAGACCAGCGGUGUCUUUGUGCUAGGGUAAAUCCAGGUGUGAGCAGAUAGUGCUUUGCCUGAGUGUCUUUAGACGACACGGCGGUUUAGAUUGGGUACUUUGAUUCUCGUCCGCGUUGAGCAUAUAGUUAUUAGUAGCGGUUGUUGCAUAUAUACUUCUAGUUCUUUCUGUACAGUUGUCUUGCUACUAUAGUUUUGAUAUCCUUGUAUGCUAUGCAGUUGUACAUUACAAGUAGCGGUAGUUGUGUUUUCAUAUUAUAUAUUCUCGUGUGUAUUAUCGUUGCUACUGUAUUUUACUUACCCAUACUGUUGCGUUAUCUCUUCUGAUCACGGUGAGUACUCCUCGCCUUCUUCGGCUUGCCGUACUCACUGGGAUGGGAGACCUGUUUACAUGUUCUCACCUCCCCAUCAUUUUUCAGGUAUGCGGGCGAUGAGUGAUGGGACGAGACGUGAGGUACGUGUGUAGCGGUCGAUAGAGUCCGACCCAGGUAUUUCGAUUUAUUGUUAUCUUAUUGUAUUUCUGUUGAUAUAUAGUUAGUUGGUUUAUGUGGUUCAGUGAUUAUUUACAUUCGAAAAUGUGGAUUUUGGAUUUGUAAAAUAAAAGUUUUCUACCCCGUAGUAGCGUUUUUAAAAGAAUUAAAGGUUUCUGGUAGAAACAGCUUUCAAAGAUUUUUUGUGAUUUCUGUUUAUACCUUGAAUGUAAAACUGUGAUGUGAAUGGUGUUGAUAUGAAUGUAUAGUUAUCUAUAUUCAUCUGGUUGUGGUUGUAUCCUGAUUGUACUGUGAUUUUGAUCGACAUCGCGUGCAAUACAGGGGAGACUCUUGUCGUGUGCUGGAGUAGACGCUUUGAACAGUAGAUUACCCUGUAUUUGUUGGCGUGCAUUUCUGGAGCCAUACUCUGGGUCAGGAUUUCAAAACAAAAAAAAAAAAAAAAAAAAAAAAAUUCAGACGCUUUUCCGCUUUGUUUUAAACUAAAAAGGGACCCCGGGGCGUGACAACAUGGCAAAAGAAGAAUUAGUUUGGCAAAUUUUUUUCAUAGAAUUAUUUGCUCAAUUAAAAAAUUUUAUAGGAUUAUUUUGAAAUAAAAAGUCUGUAGAAAUUGUUAUUCCUAUAAUUGGUGUAGACACGCUGCUUCUUUCAUUACUUCAGUGAUCGAAGGUUUGCUACGUCUAGUACCACUUAAUUACAAACCAUAAAUUCAUAUUUUAAUUAAUUGAUAGUUGUCUGUCUCAUUUUGAAAGCUUUUGUCCUCUAUUAUGCUACAAGUUAACGGCCAGUGUGACGCCGCGAAUUUUAAAUAUUUUAAAAUAUUUUAUAUUUUUUAUAAAAUUUUAUUAGCAUAAUUACUAAUUAAAUUAAUUUAAAUAAAAUAAUUUACUAAUUAAAUUAAUUAAUUUAAACAAAAGUAAUUUAAAACAGUAUAUGUGCAAUAUAAAUUUUUAUAAGAGCUUAUCAACAAUUAAAUAAUUAUUAAUGAUAUGUGUAACUAAUUGACUGAUAAUAUAGGUAUUAAAUGAUUAAAAUAAUUCAAAUACAACGCAAAAGAAAUUUAUAUAUUAAAAGAAAUUUUAAUGAUAUUUAAUAAAGUGAUUUUAUCAAAAUAUAUGUGUUGAUUGAGAACUGGGGCAUAACUUACGCGAUCAUAACUAUAGCACUCCUCCCACUAUUAAAACCAAUCAAUAAUGUGGACUGAGAAAACAUUAUAAUAAAUAGUAAUUUCGAAGCCUGUGAAAGGAGUCUUUCUCUCCUAUGAAUAAGAAGACCACUUUAUUUUCAAUACUUCUACUUUCUUCAUUUAUUUUUUUUUUAGGAGUAGUCUACUUGUAAUUAUUUUCCUUUUUCCGUAUUUACUAUUUUUUUAGUAGUAGUUAGUAGGGUAGACUUUCCUUCGAGAUUGGAUGUCAUAGUAGCAUACCUUCUUUUGUAAAAAUUUUCUGAUUUUAAGCAAUAUAUGAGUUUUUCUUCUCUUCAGUAGAACCAGAAAUUUCUGUACAAUCUGUACACUCGGCUGAUCUAGCCGAACCGAAUUUGUUGUGUUGAAUCGAACUCGGUUGAUCCGAUCCUUCAUCAACGGAAUCACUUGAUUUGUGGUAGGUGCAAACUUCUAGAAUCAUCAUUCGUAGUCGUUUCAUCUCCUCGCAUGUUUUUCUUUGAAGGAGGAUUUUUGACCGAAUAAGCGGUCGGAGAAUUCAGCUCGCAGCAAUACGUAAGAAGAAAAAUUUUAUACAGACUAGUUAACAAUUAGAUAAGUUUAUAAAACUAUUAAUAUAAUAAAUUAAAUAAUUUAAUAAUAUAAACAAAAUUGGAUUAAAAAAUACUAAAAGACAGAGAGUGCAAAAGCGAUAUAAGGGUUGGUGUAAUACAGGGCUUACGAAAUCAAUUAAAAACAAAGUUAUUAAAAUGAUUUAAAUAAAUUAAUAAAAUGAUGGAGAUAUGAAAUAGUAGAGUAAAUGCUAGACAAAUAAAAUGAUGGAGAUGUGAAAUAGUAGGGUUGGUGUCAUUUGAAUGCUAGACAAAUAAUAUCAUAAAGUUAUAAAUUUUGAAACUUAAGAAAUUCAAUCAUAUAGUUUAGAUCAACACUAACGAUACCAAUUAUUAAUUUUAGAUCAACACUAGCGAUACCAAUUAUUAAUUUAGAUGACACUAUCUCUAGAAAGGACCUGGAAAUAAGCAAUUUAAUUUGCUUCUAGAAUUGUUCAAGUUUUCCUCUUUUGUAAUUAUAAAAAGCAGUUAAAAAAAUGCCCAUUCUAACGAAUAAGAUUGGGGCAUCUCCAUAUAGCAUAUAAAUGAGAAAUAAAAUGAUCAGAGCCGUGCUACAAAAGAAAAUACAUUACAAAAAAAAUAGUACAUAACUACAAGACAUAAAUUCUUUUAUGAAAAGAUAUGUAAUAUAAUAUAAUAUAAUAAAACAAAUUCUCUUANNNNNNNNNNNNNNNNNNNNNNNNNCGCUCGUUCUGUACGGUAAAGGGCUUGUACCAGUACAAACCGACGACCGGACCCGCUCUCUGUUAUGCUCUCGAUCUGCUGUAACCAGCUUGUACGUCAGAACAUGUCGGGUACAAGUGCCGAAAGCAGGGGUGCUUUGGAAAAUAGAAAGGAGGGUCUGUGUAAGGAUGAGAUUUUGUAUAGCUAAACUCUCAGUUGACGGAGUUUUUUGUGUGUAUUUAUUACAAAACACUCGGUAAGUUUCGGCCGGAAUGUUUAAAACCAAUUUAGCGUUUCAGUUUCAUUAUAAAAGGUGAAGAGUGAAUUCGAUUUGGAGAGACCGGUGAGGAAGUGGCUUCUGGCUGGUACGGCUUGUUUAUAGCGUUCAAUAGCUGUUUGACGGUUCAGUUAUUUGGAAUCUGCGCUGAGUAUUUUGGGGUUUUGAUGCACGUGAUUUGAGCAUCUGAUAUUACGUGUUUUGUAUAUGUAAUUGGUGAGGUGAUAUUUGGCUUUGGAGAGAGAGUGGAUUCGGUGAAUCCGUUGGUCAUCGAGUGUGAACCCGAAUUGUAGCUUUGUCUAUUAGGUGUGAUCGCCUGGUGCGAUCAGUUCCAAAUCCGAACGGGAUUGCGGAAUGCAGUUGAUUAGGAAUUGAGGUCCGGUUGAGGGCCAAAAUGAUAUUUUUGCGCAAUAAGUCGCGAUUAUUUUAUGACCGUUUCGGGAACUACUGGGAUCGAAGUGGAGGAUGUUAUGGGUUUUACAGCACUGUGAAGGACUCAGUAAUAAAUAUGUUUGGUGGACUUAUUUUGCAAUUGCACCUAGGUUAUUCUUAUAGCUCCUAGGGUUUUUGAUUCUACCCAUACCUUACCAGCCCAGUACCUAGUGCCCUACUCCUUAUUUCAUCGCCGCCUGCGACCUCCCGCCGCGCGGCUGCAGCCCGGCCGCCUCGAAGCGCACAUCUUUCUUCGUUCUUCUUUUUUCCCGUCGGGUUAGAGCCUGGCCGAGGCUGCAUGCCUUGGGUCGUACGGGCGUCGUCGACCUGUCGGGGAGUUACCCCGCGGCACGACGCCGAGCCGGAGCCGCGCCGGUGUCCAGCUUACAGCUGUUCCCAGACCGGCCGGCGAGGGCAGCUUGUGCAGCUUCCUCGCGCGCCGCCGCUCGGGCCGACGGAGUCUCAGACCUCUGCAUCCUUCGCCGUCCCCGUUCGCGGCCGCGCGUGGGGAGAAACCCGCGAGCCGAGUUUUUUUGCGGGCUCGGUUGUCCGCGGAUGCGCGAUUUCGUCGCAACGAGGUGAGCACGGUGUUCCUACUCCCACCGCCCUGGACCUUGCGCGCCGCCUUGCCGCGGAACCCCGGCGGAUUCAGGUUUGCUCGGCAAGCCGAAUAGGGCUUAUUUUGGCGGGUUUAGUGUCUCUGAGCUUCCGAGUCUCCCCGAUCUUGCGGAAGGAGACGGAUGAUGUAGAAUUGCUGAUUAUGUGUACCUUAGAUUCUGCCGGGGAGACCGUUUCGUGUUUCGGCGAGGGAUGUCGAUGUCGAGCUGUUGGUGCGUGUUUGGGUUUUGGCGUUUAUCGGCGAUCGAGGCUGUCUGAUGACCUCCGUUGUGAGCAGGUUCGUUGGUCAGUGCUGAUCAUAGUCUAACUCACUUUGGAUCAGCAUGUGUCGAUUAGCCCCCCUGUUUGGCGCGAUUUCCCCUGCGCGUUUUCGCUGAACUUUGGGUUCUCCGCGUUCCACAGCGAGCGCUGUGCUCGGAUCGUGAGACGGACUCCAGUACGUGAGACCUGUCCCAGUAGUGUUCUGGACUUCGGUAAGUCUGGUUUGUUAUGCACGAGCCGCUUGAAUCGCUCAAUUCAUAAAUGAUGAGAUUUUAUGUAAUUAGAGGUUUUUUAUGCAUUGUGUAAUGUGUGAGCUACCAGUGUUGGCAGGAUUGGUGUUUGUGCUAAGUUGUGUUGAAUGCUGGACUGAUUGUCAUUGAUCAUAGCUUCGCGAAAUCGUUAGGUAGUAUUCGGCGCGGCCGUAGCGUUUUUCGGCGAAAUUGACGAAAGAAGCGGCGGACCCCGGCGGGUUUCGGUCGGAUUCUUUCUGACGUGUUGGUUGCUUGUGUUUUGUCGUGGCCUUUUGGCUUGUGCCCAUCGUAUUUUGUGGUUCGGAUGAUGAUGGUCGUGUAGCGACCGGUGGGUUUCUAGUGUCGAAUAGCCUUCUGGAACCCGAUUCGUGAGAUUAUCGGCGUAGUGUCUGAGUUGUGUUACUCUGGUUCGUGUAAGCAUCAAAUUGGAGUGUUUGGAGGGACGGGGUGACUCGAUGGCCGGUCGGUGGUUCGGGACACUUUAGUGACGCGACGGUCCCGGUGUGGUUUUCGGUGUCGGUGAGUUACGUGUAUCGGUUUUUGGGAAUCGGAUUCGGGGAUCUGUGUGGGGGUUUGUGAGUUCGUGCUUUGGGUUAGGGUUUUGGAUUCUGACUUGGGGAUUUUUGUUAGGUCCGUAGACUCUGUGGUACCCGUUCGCAGCUGUAGUGACAGGUGGGUGUUCAGAGCUGGUGUCGGUGAGAGGCGUUUCCUCUUCUCUGUUUUUCCUCUUCCGUUAUUAGUUAUAUGUCAUGUGUUUGUUUAUCGUUUGCUAUCGUUAUUUUCGUGAUGAAUUGGUAGUGAUUGUAGAAAUGUGAGCGGUUGAUUUUGUAUUUAGUUCUCUGGGAUUGGGUCAGGCAAACAGUGACUCUUUGUCGUGGUGUGUUGAUCUGGUUGAGUGCGAGGUUCGGCGUUUUUGUGCUUAGCUUCUAUUUUCAGUUGCAUUGUUACGCCUCGUGUUGCUUCGGCUAGGCCGGGUUUUAGCGGGUUUGUUUUUUGUUUGGAGCUGACCAGUAUGGAUUAGUCACUGGAUUGGGGGGUAUUCAUGACCCGAUCGGUUUGGCACGAUCGGAGCCGCCCCUCCCUUUUUCCUCAGCUUCUCCCUUAUCCUUUCUCGAGACUACUCCUCUCCUCGUCCCUCCUCCUCCCUCCCCCCCCCCAUCCCUCCCGCCCCCUCUCGUACAAAAUCCCGCUCCCAGCCCCGCGCGGCCAUCCUCCCCACUUCCACCAGUUUGAUACUGGUGUACUUAUCCGGAUAGGUUGUCUGCGGGGUACGCGCAUGGAUCGAGGUCAGGUUUGCGUUAAGUGACAGGCAGCGUUUGAGUGUCUGGGACGAAUCGUAGCACGAUUGGGUAGUUUCUUAUUCAUAUUUGAGGCAUUCUUGCAUUGUUAAUAUUAAUAGGUUAGCAGGUUUGUUUUUGUUCGUUUUAUCUGUUGUAGUAUGUAGCUUUUCAUAUCGCAUUAUAUUUGUUAUUGUAUUCUUUGGUUUCGGGAUUCGGGUUGUUCGUGCUCUGUCGUUACCCAUGAGAAACGCAUUGGUUGGGUUUUCUCCCCCAUUUCCCAGGUGACAUAGACGAGGAGUUGGAUUUUGGGCUCGACGAGAGGACGAUCUAGCUAGUCUGGUAUAGCGAUCGCCACCCUGGUUGUAUUUCUUUCCCGCCUUUAGUAGUCAUUUAAAUAAACGGUUCAGUUAGAUGUUUGAAUGUUGUGAUUUCCGUUAUACAUGAUUAGAUGAUCUUAUGAUUGUUUGAAUGAGUUCGUUUUCCUUGUAUGCAUGAGAUUUUGGAUGUUUUAUUAUACAUGAGAUUUGAGUUUUCAGAUAUGUGGUUUUGGAUCCUUGGUUUCAGAUAGGAUUUAUACGCUUUGCGGAUUUCUACCCCUCGAGGUAGCUGGUUUUCAAAAUAGAGUUUCCGUGUGGGAAACAGUUUUAAAAAGGUUUUCGAAUGGUUUUAUGAACGAAUGAAUUAGAGUUUAAAAACAAAAGCUUCCGUGUGGGGAGCACUUUUAAAUAGGAUGAUUGUUGUACUGUGCAUUGCAUCAUCCAGCGCCUAAGGAGUGCUUAGAGGCAUGCAUUAUCUCUAAGGAUUGUUAUCUGUAUGAAAAUGCAUAUCAUUAAUUGGUUGUUGAUUGGUAAUUGUAGGUUGGGGUUGUGAUCCUGUUGUAUAGCUGGUACGCCGUACAAAUACAAAGGAGACUCUGUCCGAGUGGACAAAGAAACUUUGUAUUUGUGGCGGGUCUGUACGUCGCGUGGGCCAGGUUGAAAAAAAGAAAAUGGCACGUUUUGCGCAACUCUGUUUUUAAAAGGCUUUUAAAAUCGGCCCCGGAGCGUGACAGAUUAAGAUGGUAUCAGAGAGUGAAACAACUACAACUACAUUUACAAGUUUCUAACUGAACCACUGGUUAGGUUGACCUAUAGGAAGACCUAAGGUAUAUAGGCACGCGAGUGCGGUGUAUUGGGUUUGAGUCCUGGUGAGUUGGUAUGUCGAGUCGAUUGGUUCGCUUGACGGUGUUUUCUCUUGCAGAUGCCUCGUGGUAGACCCCCUCGUCCGGGUCGUGGUGGUGGACGUGCUGGUGCAAUGGCAUCGGGUAGUACUCGUGUUCCUACGAGUGGGGGUGUUGGGGAGCAGUAAGGCACGGAGCCGCUGCGUGGUUGUCACGCCCCGGGACCCAGCGGAAGCCCGCCCAGCGCGUGCCCAGACCCGCCAUAUGUCUACAACAUAUAAAGCGUCUAAAAACAACAAUAAUAAAAGCAAUAAUAAAAGACAUCUAGGAGUAUCAGAGCAUAAUUAAUGUUUAAAUGCUACAACAAGAAAUAAGGAUGAAACUGUAAAUUCACUAAAUAAGACAUAAAGUAAAUACAAUAGGAAAUCCCAAAUACAAGUGCUAUAGGUAGGUACAUAGGUGGUCUCUAUACAUGGACACAAAAGCCUCACACUCUCUCAAAAUAUGAAAUGGAGAAGAAGCAACCACCUAGCGCAAAAGAAAACUCUCCCGGGCUAGCUACGCGACACCCUUGCCGCGAUCCCGUGCCUCCGCCGGUGCCGAAGGCUCUGAAAAGGAAAUAUAGAAACAGGGGCAUGAGAACUAUUAAAAAUAGCUCCCAGUGGGCAAUUACUGACUUCAGUGAAUGCACCACAAGGCCCAAAGCUACAAUAGAUGUCAGUGAAUAUAACAGAAGGAAAAUGAAAGGCAAGUAAAAGAAAUGUAACUUACUACAACAUGAUAUCUCUACUUAGCAUAAAUAGCAUAAGUAUGAAACAACUAUGCAUGAAGUAAAAGUCUCCAACUAUCAUAAUGUUCGUAAUGCGAAAUAGUAAGGUUCCGUUGUUUACUAUUCUAGUCAAUGUCCAAACAAUACUCUAAGUCAUCAUCUGUCCACAUGUCAUAAUGAAUCCGCAAGUCAAAUCUGAAAAGACCCACCCGAAGGCUGUCUAUGGCCCUGAGACCCACCCGUAGGCUGUCUGGCCGGUGCCGAGCCUAAUGGCCCCGUGGUAGUCAUCAUCCCCACCCUAGGAAUGAGCCUGUCCCACGGCAAUCCACUUCGGCGCCCAAUCCCGCACGGCGAAUAUGAAUCGCGAUGGCCAUCUCCGGAGUGCCGGCUUGUAGGGAGCGACCCUCACAAGCAUNNNNNNNNNNNNNNNNNNNNNNNNNNNNNNNNNNNNNNNNNNNNNNNNNNNNNNNNNNNNNNNNNNNNNNNNNNNNNNNNNNNNNNNNNNNNNNNNNNNNAAAAAUCUAAGUAAACAAACAAAGCAUCAAAUUCAAAUUAAAGAAGAACCUGAUAAAUAUGGUUAAUCGUUGCAAGUCGAUGUGAACAAUUUCUUGAGACAAAAUAAUUAGUAUUUAGUAUAUCAUUUCUUAUUCAUCCCAAAUGAGUAUAAGUGCAAUCAUUUAUAUAGACUAUAAAAUGAUCUUUUAUAUUCUAAGAUGACUUUUCAUUUUCUUCUAUUAAUAUAUAUGACUCUUCAUAUUCCAAGCUUUUUAAAUAGGAAAAAAAAAAAUCUAUUAAUUAAAAAAAUAAAAAAAUAUUAAUGAAAUUUAUUAAUAUAUAUGACUCUUCAUAUUCUAAGCUUUUAAGAUGACUUUUUAUUUUCUUCUAUUAAUAUAUAUAUCACUCUUCAUAUUCUAAGCUUUUUAAAUGAGAAAAAAUAUUUAAUUAAUUAAAAAAAUAUAAAAAAAUAUUAAUAGGAUCUAUUAAUAUAUAUGGCUCAUAUUCCAAGCUUUUUAAAUGAGAAAAAAAAAAUUCAAUUAAUUUUUAAAAAAAUAAUGGGACCCAUACUCCCAAAUUAAGGAAGUUGCAUAACAUUAGCUUAAGGAUAUGAAAAUUUAUAGAUUUAUAUAGAUUUAAAAUAGGGAGAGGAUUUAUAGGAAGUUGAAAAAUUACCAGGUGGGCUCCACGCUAUAAUGAUCGAAGAGGAACCCAUUCAUGGAGAGUGAAAAAUAUAAGGUGGGCCCCAUAUACCCUAACAUUAAGCUGCACAUGCCACGUGGACAGAAGAUUAAGAGGAUUAAUAUAGGUUUAUAUAUAUAUAUAGAGUAGGGCUACUAUACUCUUAUAAGUAUAGAGCCCUUCGUACUCAUAAGUUGUUUUCAAAAUCAUUAUGAGUAUGAAGGGCUAUGAAAAAUUUCGUAAUUACGAAAAUUACGAAAACAACUUAUGAGUACGGAAAAAUUACGAAAUUUAUUUUGAAACUUCUAGAAAAUAAAUUUCGUAAUUUUUCGUAAUUUUUGAAAAAUCUAGAGUAUUUGAAACUAUGAAAAAUAAACAUGAUCUAGAUAUGAAAAAUUAUCGAAAACAACUUAUGAGUACGAAUAUUACAGCUAAUAUAUCUAGAGUAUUUGAAACUUCUAGAAAAUAAAUUUCGUAAUUUUUCAAAAUCAUUAUAAAGUCCAUCAAGCGGGUAUAAAAUGAACGGUUAAAAUCGAAUGACAUCCUAAAAAUGGAUGAUCGGAUCCUUCAAUUUAAGAUCGGAGUUAUUGAUCUUUAUUUAGGUAGUGAAUAGAAUUUUCUAUCAAAGAUUCAACCUAUUCCGAUUCUUUUUCACCGUUAAACUAGCAAAUAUCUCAUACCAGCCGUUAAAAAUUGUCAAUUUUGUGAGCUUUUAAUCGUAAGGUAAAUGAUAUCGAAAAAUUAUAAAAUUUGAUUUCUAGAAGUUUUAAAUGCUUUAGAUAAUGUUUAACGGUAUAGAUCGUCGAGUCGGAAGCUCUAUCAUCGAAAACAACUUAUGAGUAAGAAGCCGAUCGUACUCAUAAGAGUAUAGUAGCCGAACUAUAUAUAUAUAUAUAUAUAUAUAUAUAUAUAUAUAUAUAUAUAUAUAUAUAUAUAGAACUAGGCUGAUAUACUAUCGGUAGCACGGAGGCAUCCGUGCUAUCAAGUUGUUUUCAACGAUACGGCUUCCAAAUUGACGAUCGGCCCUGUUAGACUUAAUUUACACUAUUGAAAGUAUUUGGAAACUAAAUUUCAUAAUUUUUCGGCAUCAUUUACCUAUCAAACGAGUAGUCAAAAAAUGAACGGUUGAAAAUAAAAAUCUCAUAAAAAAUAAUGAUAAAAGACUUGAAUUUAAAAUCAGAGGUAUUGAUCUUACUCUAAAUAGUGAAAAGAAUUUUCUAUAAAAAUUUUAUCAGAUUUGGAUUGCUUUACACCGUUAAAUUCACAAAUGCAUAACAUCUACCAUUAAUUAUCAAUUUUGAGACCUUUUGAUCACUAGCCAAAUAAUGUUGAAAAAUUAUGAAAUUUCUUUUUCAAAUAUUUUUAAUAGUGUAGAUCAAGUUUAACGGGGCCGAUCAUCGAUUUGGAAGUCGCAUCAUUAAAAACAACUUAGUAGCACGAAAGCCUCCGUGGUAUUGAUAGUAUACCACCCUAUAUAUAUAUUGCAGGACUGCUAUGCUCUUACGAGAGCACGGAGAUCUCCGUGCUUCUGAGUCGUUUUUGAUGAUGGGACUUCCGAAUUGACGAUCGGCUCCAUUGGACUUGAUUUAGUAUAUUUGAAGUUUCUAGAAAAUAAUUUUUGCGAUUUUCUAAUAUCAUUUACCUAGCAAUCAAAAGGAUUUAACAUUGACGACUAAAAAUAAAAUCCUAUAAAAGACGGUGAUAUAGCAUUAAAAAUUUCGAUCAGAAAUAUUGAUCUUGUUGUAAAUAGUAUAAAGAAUUUUCUAUCAAAAUUUCAUAUGAUUUGAAUACUUCUACAUCGUUAAACUUGCAAACGGUAUAUAUCAACCAUUAAAUAUUGUUAAUUUUAAACCCCUUUGAUUGCUAGGUAAAUAAUAUCAAAAAAUCGCAAAAAAUAUUUUCUAGAAAUUUUAAAUACACUAGAUCAAGUUUAGCGGAGCCGAUCGUCGAUUCGGAAAUUCUACCAUCGAAAACGGCUCAGGAGUAUGGAGGCCUCCGCGCUCCUAAAAGCAAAGCAGUCCUGCUCUAUAUAUAUAUAUAUAUAUAUAUAUAUAUAUAUAUAUAUAUAUAUAUAUAGAGAGAGAGAGAGAGAGAGAGAGAGAGAGAGGAGAGAGANCUCUCUCUCUCUCUCUCUCUCUCUCUAUAUAUAUAUAUAUAUAUAUAUAUAUAUAUAUUGCAGGACUGCUAUGCUCUUAGGAGCACGGAGGUCUCCGUGCUUCUGAGUCGUUUUUGAUGGUGGGACUUUCGAAUUGACGAUCGGCUCCAUUGGACUUGAUUUAGUAUAUUUGAAGUUUCUAGAAAAUAAUUUUUGCGAUUUUCUAAUAUCAUUACCUAGCAAUCAAAAGGAUUUAACAUUGACGACUAAAAAUAAAAUCCUAUAAAAGACGGUGAUAUAGCAUUAAAAUUUUUUAUCAGAAAUAUUAAUCUUGUUGUAAAUAGUAUAAAGAAUUUUCUAUCAAAAUUUCAUAUGACUUGAAUACUUCUAUAUCGUUAAACUUGCAAAUGGUAUACAUCAACCAUUAAAUAUUGUUAAUUUUAAACCCCUUUGAUCGCUAGGUAAAUAAUAUCAAAAAAUCGCAAAAAAUAUUUUCUAGAAAUUUCAAAUACGCUAGAUCAAGUCUAGCGGAGCCGAUCGUCGAUUCGAAAAUUUUACCAUAAAAAACGGCUCAGGAGCAUGGAGGCCUCCACGCUCCUAAAAGCAAAGCAGUCCUGCUCUAUAUAUAUAUAUAUAUAUAGAGAGAGAGAGAGAGAGAGAGAGAGAGAGAGAGAGAGAGAGGGUGAGGCCGGUAUGCUUCUGGAAGCAUAGAGCCCUCCGUGCUUUUAAGUCAUUUUCGAUGUUGGGACUUUUGAAUCGACAACAGUUUCGUUAGAUUUGAUCUAAAAUAUUUGAAAUAUCUAGAAAAUAAAUUUUGUAAUUUUUCGAUAUUAUUUUUCUAGUGAUUGAAGGACAUCAAAAUCAAUAAUUUUAAUAGUCAUGGUGAUCUGUUUGCAAAUUUAACGAUAUAGAAAUAUCUAAAUCAUGUAAAAUUUUGAUAGAAAAUUCUUUAUACUUAUAUAAAAUAAGAUCAAUAUUUUUGAUCUAAAAUUUUAAUGUAAUAUCAACAUAUUUUGUAAUAUUUUUAGUUUUAGCCAUUGAUUUUGAGUUCUUUUGAUCACUAGCCAAAUAAUAUCAAAAAAUUGUAUAAUUAUUUUUUAGGUACUUCAAAUACUCUAGAUUAAGUUUAAUAAAACCGAUCGUCAAUUCAAAAAUCCCAAUAUCAAAAACGACUUUAAAGUACGAAAGAUUCCCUAUUUUCAAAAGCAUACCGGCCUCUCCCCUCUCUCUCUCUCUCUCUCUCUCUCUCUCUCUCUCUCUCUCUCUAUAUAUAUAUAUAUAUAGAGUGAGGCUACUAUGCUAUCGGAAGCACGGAGCCUUCCGUGCUUUCAGCUCGUUUUCGAUGUUGCGACUUUCGAAUCGUCGAUCGGCUCCGUUAAACUUGAUUUAGAGUAUUUGGAGUACAUAGAAAAUAAAUUUUAUUAUUUUUCGAUAUCAUUUGCCUAGUGAUCGAAUGGGCUCAAAAUCAACAAAUUUCAAUGGCCGUAGUGAGCCAUUUACAAGUUUAACGGUGUAGAAAUAUCCAAAUCAUGUGAAAUUUUGAUAGAAAAUUCUUUAUACUAUAUAAAACAAGAUCAAUAUCUUUGAUUUAAAAUUUUAAUGUCAUAUUAUUAUAUUUUGUAAGAUUUUUAUUUUCAGCCGUUGAUUUUGAGCCCCUUCGUUCACUAGGCAAAUGAUAUCGUAAAUCAUAAAAUUUAUUUUCUAGGUACUUUAAAUACUCUAAAUCAAGUUUAACGGAGCCGAUCGACGAUUCGAAAGUCGCAACAUUGAAAACGAGCUGGAAGCACGGAAGGCUCCGUGCUUCCGAUAGCAUACAACCUCACUCUCUCUCUCUCUCUCUCUCUCUCUCUCUCUCUCUCUCUAUAUAUAUAUAUAUAUAUAUAUAUAUAUAUAUAUACACACUAACUAGUAUAGUAGCUGUGCAAUGCACGUCACAAAAAAUUUGUGGAUAAGAAAGUAGACACUGUUUUCUUACAAGGCAAACAGUAAUUAUUUUUUUACUACUGAUUUUUAUACUAUAAUAAUUUUUUAAAAUUAUGUUUUUUUCGUAGUUUCUUUAGUUGUUGUAAAUUAAUAUUGUUAAAUUAGAUUUUGAUUUUAAAAGAACUAAUCCCCAAUUAGUGUGUGCUGUCUUUAAAGUGUACUAGUUAAGGAACCGUGCUAUGCAACGGGCUCUUUUACUUUCUUUACAAUAAUUAAUAAGUAACAAAAUAUUUUUAUUUAUAAAGCAAAUAACAAGAUAUUUUUAUAAUAAAACAAAAUCAAUAUAUGUAAAUCCAUUUUUUAAAAAAUUUUUGGUAUUUAGCAAUCAGUCAAGACACUAUUGCUGAUAGGUUAAAACAAUAUAUUCGAGUACUAUCCAAGAUUUUUAAUUAAACCUAUGAAGAAAUGUUGUCGCAUGAAAAUAAACAGAAUGCCGAGAAAGUUUACACAUUUACUAAAUCAAAAUGAUUUAUUAAAAUAUGAAAGGAAAAAAAAUUGUAACUAAAAAAAAAAUUAGGCAGCCAAAGAGUUUAGUAAAUUAUAAGCCCAUAAACGAAACAAAAGUAAAUUGUAAGAUUGCAAAUGCAUGAGCAAAAAUAGAAGAGCUAAAAGACAGCAGAAAGCAAACAGUAAUAGUCUGAAGUAAAAAAAAAAAAACAAAAAGCAAUGCAAAUAUAUACAGGCGAUAUAUAGUGUAAAAGAUCAGAUAGAUCGAGAGCAAGAUCAUCACAGCCAAAAAAAAAAAACUAUACAAAUCUAACUAGAACAUCUGCAGACAAUUGGAGAAAAAAAAAAUUCUUUUAGGUCAGCCAUGCUCAUAUACUUGGGAAAUGGCAGCAAAGCAAGCCAUCCGAAUGCUGCUAGCCGUACGUAUAGAACUAAACAGAUUAGCCAAUUCCUUGAUUUGAGUCAACAUAAAAUGUCAGAUUGUCUAAAGAGCAAUUUAAUCACAGCCAAUAGAAGAAUAUAUACAUAGUAAUUUGCACAAAGUGCACCGCUGCAGAUCAAGAAGCAUCAAAAAACAAAACAAAUACAAUAAUAAUCUUAAUCAUCUCUAUCAGUACAGAGUAAGAAAAAAUCCACUAUGAAAACUAAGCAUUUAAUUGAAAAUAGGAGAGCAAGUGCCAUAGACUGCACACCCAUUACCGAAUGUAACUACAAAUAGAUAGUAAAAUAUUAGGCAAGAACAGUUAGAGCAGGUAAAAAACAGUAGACCAACAAUGGCAAAAAAAGUCAAAAAUCAGAGCAAAAAAAAAAUCAACUCAGUGUGGCUUCUCAAAACUACAUAAUUAUUUACCCAAUUCAAUAGAAAAAAUAUCCAAUAUUCUACAGCGUGAAAAAGAAAGCUACUAACAAUUUCCGAAGUACACAGGCUGCGAGGAUUACCAGAAAAAUGGCCAACACGCCAUGCCUUAGUAGAGCAAUUAUCGUUUUUGAAAAAUUCUAGCAAAGAGGCAAUUUAUCAGAGGGAAAGAUUAAGCAAAAAGAAAAAGGCCCAGGUAGUCAAGGUGCCUUAGACUAAUCAUCAUUUUUUAGAUAUUCCAACCUUCACUAUAAAGAAGCCCCAACAUCACAGCCUCCACAAUACCGAGAGAGUUAUUUAUAAACCAAUGAAUCUGAUGAACCGGCAAACUUUAGAACCUAUAAUAGAGCCUUUAGAACAUUUAGAACCUAUUGUCUCUUUAUCCAUUAAAUGCAAUGCUUUCGGAGUGCCACUUUGCCAAUCAAUGCGAAUCCACUCCGUUUAGGUUUCUACCAUUUCCAUUCCUGCCAGUCCCAGUUUGGGACUCCAGCAAAAAAAAGGAAAAAAAAACAAAAAAACAAAAAAACACCACAACAAUAAACAGCAAGGAAAAAACAUCAAAGCAUUAGGGGGGAAAGAAGUAAAAAAUCAGAGCAAAAAGAAAUUAAUUAUUUCCACCACCUUGCCUAUAGUCCGACUGAUGAAUCAAAAAAUUUCUACAGACAGCUAGUUGUCAGAAAGGCAAGAACCUUAGCUGCCGAGUUAGAAGUUAAUUAUUAAGAAUUAUCAUCAAGAAAAUGAUAAGACGUUACCUCAGCCAGGCAAACAGUAAUUUCUUAUCUUGUAAGCUACCGACGGUAGUCUUUUGACACCCAAUCAACUUUAGAAGUGAUGGUACCUGCAUCAAAAAGCCCAAGCAAUCAAAUCAAACAUGAACUCUGCAUUAUUAAAAAACAAAGCAUAAAUAUCAUAAAUGAUAUGAACUAUGCGUACCUUGUCACGUUAAAUUUCAAAGAACAAUCAUAUUAUGGUGUUUCUUUGCCCAAAAUUCCAUCCUCGAUUUAACUAAGAAAACUAAAUAUGUUGGCAUCCAAAAACCAGACAACUAAAAUUGUAGGAGAAAAUGAAAAUUUGUGGAAGACCUUUACCUUAAUUUGCAUAAAGCAAAUUUCUAAUGUGGUCGAAGGGCAAAGAAUUUUGACUAAAAGUAUAGACGGCAACAAAAUAAUUCUUAAAAAAGUUACAGCACAUCAAUUGCUGAUAUUAAUUGAUAAAGAUAAGGAGAUAAGAAUAAGGUGAUAAAAGGCUCAAACAGAUUUGUUAUUAAUUGAUGAAGCAAAGAGACGCAUUCCUCUUUUCUCUUCUCAUCAAAAUUAAAUUAGACUGAAGAAUCAAAGAUUGCAGUAGUUGCCAUUGAGGUAAUCCAUGCUGCUGUGCCAUUUGAAGCUCUGCAUACGGAUCUCUAAAUAGAUAAAAUAUAAUAAAAAGGCCAUAAUCAGAUAUUUCCUAGUAAGCUAAUAACCAACAUCAGUCCUCCCAAACAAUAGUCUCUUGAAUCAUCAUUGCCUAAUACAGAAGCGGAGGGAGGGAGUUUGACGCAAGAGAUUGCAAUUGCUGAUAUUCAUCUGGGAAGAAAAACAACAGCGGCAACAUGUACGGCAAGCAUUCAGACAUUUUUGCAAACAUCUUGCCUGUACUCAUUAGUGAGGCCUCAGCGUAUAAUACAAUACAAAGAGAAGAAGAAAGGCGGAAAAGUUGAAGAUGAAGAACAGUUAAAAACAAAAAACAAAAAAAAAAAGGGAACUGCAUGGAAAAUUAUAGAGCAAAUGCAAUAUUAAGACAAAAUGAACAAGCAGAUGAAGCAAAAAUUUAUAAUUACGAACACCGAACUGCAAACAACUAACAAGCUGAUGAGCAGGAACAUAAUUAGAAAGAGAUCAUUCCGUAUAUAUUUGUUCGCUUCCCAACAGUCAAGAUAAAAGGCUCUCCAUCCUUCAUAAAAUGGGAACCUGUCAUAGUAAAAGAAGUUAACGCAAAACAUAAAAUAUGAGUAGAAAAGUUACCUCACUUGUAUGAUUUAACGCCUCACUUAAUAUACAAGACAUCACAAAAUUGAAAGAGCACAAUGAGGCAUACCACAUGAUCACAUUUUCAUGCUUACAUGAAAAAAGACUUUUGUAGGAAUCCCUACUUAUGUAGUGAAGGAACGGUUGAUUGCUAUUAAAAUCGAAACGGCAAAAAAAUAGACCCAAAGAAAAAUAAUGCAGGAAACGAAAAGGAAAGAGCACACCAAGAUUACGUGGUUCGGCCACCAACUUACGUCCACGGGUGAAGACGGAGCAAAGACUUUUAUUAAUGUCAAAGGUGGAGUACAAAGAUGAUCUUUCUCUGAAAAUUACAAAGCAUCAAAUACACGCAACAUGCUAUGUGACAAGCGGCCAAAAAGAGAAGCCAAAAUAUGGGUCGCCGGAACUCCAUUGCCAGCUAUCUCUCACCGGACAAGCAACCUGGGCUUAAUUUUGUCUAUUUGUGAUUACAGCAUUGCCUUUUUUUUUCAGCACCAACCGGCUUCAUUAACUUGGUUGCAAUUUAUAAUGCAUAGCUUCAAACAUAGAGUUUGAUUAGAAUUCUAAUCUAAUUAGACUUCUAAUUAAACUCUAUUUAUAACAUAUCUAAUAUCCAUCUUAUCCUAAUUUAAUUAGGAUUUGUCUCUGAUUUAGAUAAAUUCAAAUCUAAACUGAAAUCUAACAAUUAUGAACAAUUUACGAGUCAAAAAAUAGUGUUAGAAAAAGUAAUAAAAAUAAAUCUCACUCACCUAGUGGCGAUAUAAUGGUUUCCAAAUUCACCAACUUCUUGUUCUUCACUUAAUACCAUGUAUAAAAUUAUGGGUCCAAAAUAAGUGUGUCAUUUUACAAAAGAAGUGAAAUGGUCAUUUUAUAAGGAAAAAGUAUAUAUAUAUAUAUAUAUAGAGAGAGAGAGAGAGAGAGAGAGAGAGAGAGAAGAGUCUGGCUACUGUAUUCUUAUAAACAAUCGCAUUCGUACUCAUAAGUUGUUUGCGAUGAUAAAGCUUCCGAAUCGACGAUCCAGACCGUUAAAUAUUAUCUAGAUAAUUUAAAACUUCUAGAAAUCAAAGUUUAUAAUUUUUCGAUAUCAUUUACCUUACGAUCAAUAGCUCAUAAAAUUGACAAUUUUUAACGGCCGGUAUGUGAUACUUGCUAGUUUAACGGUGUAAAAGAAUCAGAAUAGCUUGAAUUUUUGAUAGAAAAUUAUAUUCAUUACCUAGAUAAAGAUCAAUAACCCCGAUCUUAAAUUGAAUGAUCCGAUUAUCCAUUUUUAGGACGUCGUUCGAUUUUGACCGUUCAUUUUAUAUCCGCUUGAUGGACUUUAUAAUGAUUUCGAAAAAUUACGAAAUUUAUUUUCUAGAAGUUUCAAAUACUCUAGAUCAUGUUUAACGGUGUGAAUUGUCGAUUCGGAAGCCCCAACAUCGAAAACAACUUAUGAGUACGAAGGGCUCUAUACUCAUAAGAGUAUAGUAGCCCUAUUCAUAUAUAUAUAUAGAGUAGGGCUACUAUACUCUUAUGAGUAUAGAGCCCAUCGUACUCAUAAGUUGUUUCCAAUGAUCGAGCUUUCAAAUCGACGAUCCACACCGUUAAAUAUGAUCUAUAGUAUUUGGAACUUCUAAAAAAUAAAUUUCGUAAUUUUUUGAAAUCAUAAUAAAGUCCAUCAAACGGGCAUAAAAUGAACGGUCAAAAUCGAACGAUGUCCUAAAAAUGGAUGAUCGGAUCCUUCAAUUUAAGAUUGGAGUUAUUGAUCUUUAUCUAGGUAGUGAAUAGAAUUUUCUAUCAAAAAUUCAACCUAUUCCAAUUUUUUUACACCGUUAAACUAACAAAUAUCCCAUACCGGCCGUUAAAAAUUGUCGAUUUUGUGAGCUUUUGAUCAUAAAGUAAAUGAUGCCGAAAAAUUAUGAAAUUUGAUUUCUGGAAGUUUUAAAUACUCUAGAUAACGUUUAACGGUAUGGAGUCCAGCUACUAUACUCUUAUGAGUAUGAUCGCCCUUAUACUCAUAAGUCGUUUUCGAUGAAAGAGCUUCCGAAUCGACGAUCAUAUCGUUAAACAUUAUCUAGAGCAUUUAAAACUUCUAGAAAACAAAUUUCAUAAUUUUUCGACAUCAUUUACCUUACGAUCGAAAGCUCACAAAAUUGACAAUUUUUAACGGCCGGUAUGGGAUACUUGUUAGUUUAACGGUGUAAAAGAAUUGGAAUAAGUUGAAUUUUUGAUAGAAAAUUCUAUUCACUAUCUAGAUAAAGAUCAAUAACUCCGAUCUUAAAUUGAAGGAUCCGAUCAUCCAUUUUUAGGACGUCGUUCGAUUUCGACCGUUCAUUUUAUGCCCGUUUGAUAGACUUUAUUAUGAUUUCGAAAAAUUACGAAAUUUAUUUUUUAGAAGUUUCAAAUACUCUAGAUCAUAUUUAACGGAGUGGAUCGUCGAUUCGGAAGCCCCAUCAUUGAAAACAACUUAUGAGUACGAAAGGCCCAAUACUCAUAAGAGUAUAGUAGCCCUACUAUAUAUAUAUAUAUAUAUAUAUAUAUAUAUAUAUAUAUAUAUANCCUCCUUCACCAUGAUGAGUAAAGGGGCAUGGUCAGAGGCAGCUCUGACAAGGUGUUUGACUCUGACACCAGGGAAAAGAGAUAUCCAGUCAGGAUUAGCAAAAGCUCUAUCAAGUCUGACCCAAACCCGACUCCUUAUAUCUUGAUUGUUGCACCAAGUGAAAGCAGGGCCUUCAAAACCCAAGUCGAUAAUACCAGAAGUUGAAAUAAAUUCACUAAAAGCUCUAUUUUUGGGAGAAAAAGAGAAGGGUUUACCACCUAAUUUAUCAUCUGGAGAGCAUAUGGCAUUGAAGUCGCCGCAAGUGAGCCAAGGGAGGUUUAAUCCCCCUAUUUUCUCCAACUCUUUCCAUAGCUUACGUUGUUCUGAUAGCUUUACACUACUAUAAACCGAAGACAACACCCAUGUAGGGCCAUUGUCAAUGGUAAUGAUAGCAUGUAAAGCUUGUCUGCUCCUUUGAAUGCAGGUUACCAAACCCGCAUCAUCCCUCCAGGCCAUAAGUAUGCCUCCCGAACGACCCACCGCAUCAAUUGAUUGAAAGCGCCAAUUUCUACCCAUUGCACGAGCAAUCGAUUCAGAUCUAAUUCCUGAAACAUGGGUUUCAAGCAGAAUAAUCAUAGCAACAUUAUAAUUCUUGAUAAAAUUCCUGCAUCUAUUCUUGACAUCCUUCUUUAUCCCUCCAUUAUCUCUAAUCAGUAUGCAAAUAUAUUUGUAAGAUUCAAAGCAUUAGAGAUCAAUAGCAAGAAGAUCUCAAGAAAAUAGCUACAAUUAAAAUUCAAUGCUAGGCCAUAAAAUCAAAUAUUUUAAAAUUCAGAUAUUCAAUUCAAAGUGAUCUACAGUUGAGAUAAGAACUCUAUUUUUCACCUUAUAAAGAAGGUAGGCAGUGCAAUAAAAAAAAUAGCAUAGCAUAUCUAGAAUAAUAAUGCAGACUAAUAGUUCAAGUAAUCGAAUUGAAAAAUUAAUUAUGCUAGGUUAAUGCAAAAGAGGUGAGAGCUAAAUGUAAUGGAUCUCCAUGUAUAUGGCCCUCUGCUGCUGGUCAACAAAUACAAAAAACAGAUGAUACCAUAUACAAGCAUUAACACAAAAAUGCUUCUACUAAGUAAAGCGAUGAAUUCUAAAAGAAAAAAAUCGCCUUAGUAAGAAAUCCCCAACACUAUCGAGAAGGUAUUUCUGCACAAUUUCCCAGAUGCACUUUCCACUGACCUGCUUGCCCCUCCUCCAAAGCGGGUUCAACAUAACAGCUAGCCAUUCCAUAACUUAGGAUUAGUUACUAUCAAAAUUUAGAUGUUUUAAUUUCAAGCUUUUUUAGUGUUUUUCUUCCUUCCUCGAAGACCUUCAAACAUCCAAUAACUAUUCUGUUAUACAGUUUGGUAACUUACACCUUAUCCUUGUUUUCCACUAACUUGUAAAAAAUAAUAGUCCCAUAUUUGAUAGAAAAAUGAAUUCUGCCUUGUGUAUAAUGUGAGUGUUGCAUCCACAUAUUAGGUUAAGCUUUUGAGUUGGGUUCAGGCCUACAUCAUUUAGUUCUUAACUAUGAUUAACACAGUAACUUCAAUUAUUUUCCUGAAUAUCUCUAUAUCGUGAAUGUCCAACACGCUCACCUGUAACUACUAUAGUCGAUGUUUGAUCAGAUAUUAACUCUUUCACUGAAGAGUGCAGUAAUAGAUUAUACAAAUCAUCGAAGAAAUCACCCAAACUAUCAUGUAAUAUUAUGAUGUGCAAUAUUAUUAUGAGAAAUAUCCUCUUCACCUUCCUUUUUUCUUAAUAUUUACCGGUGAUGAAAGAAAUUGUCACUUUUUGGUCUAUUCAAAACCCCAAAUUCAUUUACCCACCGCUUUCUCAUAAAUGUUGUAAUUAUAUUAUGAGUAUGUUUACUAUGAGCAUGUUUAGCACCAGAUUUCAACUUAAAUUGAAUAUCGAUUGCAACUUAUAUAUCUCACAUAUCUCUACUACUGAAGCAUUAAAACCUUAAAAACUUAAAUUGUCAAACUUCUACAAGUACUAGCGGGUGAGAAGCUAUAAGGAUAUGAGUAUAAACAAAUUUACAGAAAUUCUGGUCAUUAUGAUGGUAUCGGCGUAUAUUAAUGAUGAAUAAACAUUGUCUCACCCUUCAUUUAAAACUGCUUUAAUUUCAAACUUGCAUUUUACUCUCUUGUCAAAUAGGUUCAAAAUUUUGAAAACCUAUCAAGUUCAGAUCCAAAACUUCACAAGAAUGAUUGGCACAUAAAAUGGUUUCUACAUGUGAAUAUCUAUUUAAUUUGCAAUCUAAAUUAUAGAUCUAAAAGCAAAAAAUUGAGACAUGCUUCAACCAAACUUUAACAAUGUAUAAUAAUAACAGGCAAUUGUAAAGGUAAAUUGUACCUAAGCAAGCAAGAGACAGAACAAUGAUUCUCAUAACACGAUCCAAUUGUGGGCUUUGUAAAUGAUAAUUGGAUUUGAUUCCUAUAUUCUUCUUACCAGAUGCUCAUAAGCUAAAAUGACAUUUCAUAAUUGCAGUAAUUCUCUAAUAAGGUUUGCCAUGUCCAAGUAGCAAGGAGAAGAAAGAAAAAGUAAGCAAAGUAUCGCUAUCAUUAUUGUCUUGGCCUUAUUCCAUCAAUUUGGAAUAAAUCAGCUUACAAGUAAUAAGCAUACAAGGAACUAUACAGAUAUUGCAGUACAACUCUUAAAACCUAGACAUCAUCUCUUCAUAAAUUAGCACUAGUUCCUCACUAAAGUAAAAUCAGCGAAGAGACGAAAAGGCAUGUCAACUAAAAUUGAUUGACUUGACAUGCCACACCACAUAACUUCCACAAUGACUCCCCAAUCUUUUUUUGAAGGUUCCGAUUUGCUUCUGAACCUUUCAACUAUUGAAAUUAGACACGUAACCUUUGUAUUCCGUUGCAAUAUUAUCGUUUUCCUCAGGUUCCUUGAGUAACAUGGAUCGACAUGCCUACCCUACUGUAGUAUGAGAAGACCGGAAGUUCUUUAUGUGGCAAUCAAACAAUGACUAAGUGAAUGUUUCUGUCGAAUCGGAUAAGAUUAAACAGAAGGUCAGGAACCCUACUUUUAAGUUGUAACAGUAGCCAAACUCAAACUUCGCUAAAAAUUGAGGACCUCUGCUGAAAAUAUACAACCAUACCUGCAGCAGCAAGUUAAUUAGAUCUCAAAUCUCCUCCAACAAAAUCAAAACUGAACCACCUGAAGCUCUGUUAACUCCAGAAUAUUUGAAGCCAAUUCCUCCUCUCCAACCUUCCUCAACACCUCGACAGCAUGCUCAACACAAUCAGCUUCGACGUGAAUAUUCCUCUCAACAAUUUUUCUUCCCAACAUCGUACCUUCAUUCACGUAGCCCUCUUCACACAACCUCUUCAGCAGCAUAGAAUACACAUCUGAAUCCGCCGAUCCAUUCUCCUCCACCACUUCUACCCAACUAUACCCAUCCAAUAUCCUCCCCUUCCUGCAUAGCUCUCUUACAAGCGAAUUAAAAGCCAACCCGCUCGGCUUUAUACCCUUCUCUAUCAUCUUUCUCAGAAGCCCCUCGGCCUCGUCGAGGCUGUGGAUUUUUAUCAAACAGGUCACAAGCAGGCUGUAGCAGCUGUCGCUGGAAAUGGUCCCGGCGCCAACCACAUUCUUGAUGAGGUCGUACGCGCCAUCGACGCGUCCCCCGGCGCAGAGGCCGUUGAGGAGGGUGCGGAUGAGGACUUGGUUGGGGAGGACGCCGCACUUCCCCAUUCGGUCUAACAGAGCUAGUGCUUCUUGUAAGCGGUUGUUUUCACAGAGGCAUUUGAUCAAACAGGUGUAGGUCACGACGUUCGGCGCGCACACGGAGGAGGGCAGGCCCUCGUCCUGCUGCUCCAUUUGGGCGAGGAGCUUCGCGGCCCCAUCAGGGUCGCCGGAGGCGCAGAGGCCGUCGAGCAUGGCGGUGUAGAGGACGACGGUGGGGGCGCAGCCGUGGGCGCGCAAGCGGGGGAGGAGGGCGAGGGCGGCGGGGAGGUCGCCGGCGGCGCAGAGGGCGCGGGCGGCGGCGACGAAGGAGGCGAGGUUGGGGCGGGCGCCGAGGGGGGCCAUGUCGUCGAGGAGGGCGGCGGCGGCGGGGCCGCGGCGGGCGUCGGCGAGGAGGGAGAGGACGGCGUUGAAGGCGGGGGUGUCGGGGCGGCAGGCGAAGUGGGCGGGCAUGCGGCGGAGGAGGNUUGACUUGGGCGGGGCCGCCAGGGACGACCCCAGGGUGAACAGCGGCAGCGACGAUAUCAGCGCCGCCGCCGCCGCCGCCGCUGCCUCCUUCUCCCGAUCCGAGUUCGCCGCCGCCGCCGCGGAGUCGCCGUCGUCGGAGGAGGAGGAGGAGGAGGAGGAGGAGGAGAGGCGGUGGGCGACGCGGGAGGAGUAGUAGGAUGAGGAGGGAUGGGAAUGGGAGCGGCGGGAGAGGCAGCGGAGGAGGAGGUGUAUGGAGGCGGAGGCGAGGAUGACGAAGGCGAUAAUGGCGGCGAUGAUGAAGAUGCUCGGUGACAAAUAGAGCGACGACGACGACGACGACGACGACGACGACGACGACAAGGAGCGAAGUGGUGGUGGUGGUGGUGGUGGUGGAAGUGGAGAGCAGGCGGCGGAAGGUCAUUGGAAUUCUGAGGAGGAGGUAGAGAUGGUUAGUCCGACGGAGGACGUGCCUUGCGGCCACCAAUCCGGUCCGGUUAAACCGCCGGGCGCAAAAAUGGCCGUUUUCAUGAAACAAGUAAAGGCAAUUCUACAUUUCUAUUAGUCUAGGGCUGUAAAACGGGCUGUCCGGUUUAACCGGCCCGGAACGACUCCGGUCCCGGCCUUGGCCCGGCAAGACUACUGUAGCAUCCGUGCCGGGCCAAGCCGACCCGGCUCUCUGGAUCGUGCUCAGCCGACACUCUAAGGCCCGUCGGGCUGGCCGGUCUCGAGCCUGGGCCGUGCCGAGCCAAGAGGCCGGCCCGUGGCCUAGCGCGGUACGGCAGGAAUGGGCCGUACCUGCCGGGCCAGUACGGCCCAAAUAUCAAAAUGGCGCAUAGGCCUAUAAGGCUGUAUCCUAUAAGCCUAUAAUAGUGAUUGGGCCCAACUUGAAGCAUGCCUCUCUCUCUCCCCUAAAUCCCAACGCCCAAGGGUCAUGGCAGUCCCUUGGGGCGUGGGCCAAUGGCCUUUGAGUCGUUGGAUUUUUUUAAAAAAAUUAUUUUUUUGAAAAAAAAUAUUUAAAUAUAAUUUUAAUUUUUUAAAUAUUUUUCAUGUAAUUAUAUAAUACAAUUAAUACAAAAUUUAUAUUUUUUUGUAAUUAUUUUUUAAAAAAAUAUCAAUUUCUCUUCGAAUAAUAAAAAAUUAUUAAAAAAUUUAAUAAAAGAGUUUUCAAAAAGUUGGGCAUAAUUGUAUAAAGUAAAAUUUAUAAUCAAAUUUCUAUUUUAAAAAAAUUAUCUCUUUUUCUUUAAAAAGAAUUAUAAAUUUUUAAUUUUAAAAUUUUAAUAAUUAUAUAUGUUUAUUGAUUAGAAUACUAUCGAUCCGCCACGAAGCGCGGGACCUCCACUAGUACACCCUAAAAUAGAGUAGAUUGUAUAUUUUACGUCCACUCUAUUUUAAAAUUAUUAAUUAAUUAAAAAUCUACUCUAUUUUAAGUUCAUUAAUUAACCAAAAAAUAUAUAAAAGGAGACUUCCUAAAAAAAUUUAGGGUAAACUUCAAAUACCACUCUAUGGUUUUGCACUUUUUCACUUACUAUUGUUGACUAUUAUAUUUCCGCCCUUACUUGUUUAUCUUACUUCUUUGUUUGCCAGUGCGUGCGGCUUUCCCUCGUCGGCUGGUUGCCCUCACUGAAAAAUAUAUUUAUACGUUUCUCACCCCACUAUUUUUACAGGUGUUGCUCACAGUGCGGUCGAGGCGCGGUGGAAGGACGCGGUUAGUUAGCACCUAGAUAGCUCAUGCCAUGGAUCUUAAUUUAUAGUUUUAGAUUUUUCUUAUCGCAGUACCUUAUGAUCUGGUUAUAGUUAUGUAAUAUAAUUUGUAUUUGGAGUUUAGUUACUUUUGGGUUUUCCACCUGUAGUGGACUAUUUGAUUCUGAAUUUUGGUAUUUGAUUGAUUAGUAGUUGUAUAAUUGAACUAUCUUGUUCUAAUUGAUUAUGGUUCUGUAUUUGUGCUUUUACGCUGUACAUGUACAAGGAAAACUCUGUCCGCAUGAACAGAGAAUGCCUUGCGCGUGUGGCGGGUCUGUGCACGUCUCAGGCAAGGUUUAUAAAAUAAAAAUAAAAAAAAAAUCUAUACGUUUUUUCGCAACUCUGUUUUCAAAUUGAAUGGAUUUUUCAAAAAUUAGCUUUCCAAAAGGGCCCGAGACGUGACAAUUAUGAUCUAGAACUGGAGCAAUAGAUUUUCUAUACUUAUGCAUGAUCGUAUAUCGAUUAUUGAUCUGAGUGGUCGGUCCUUGUGAGAUCCAUGUUGUUAAUAAUAUGAUUGGUCGAUAUACCCUAGAGGGGUUUGAUUGUCCGUUAUUCGCCAACCGAUGACUAUUGAUCAUACUGCAUUGGUCACCACAGUUCGUGAGCAUUUUAUGUACACCAGUGGUUUGGCAUCGCAAUGGUGUUCUUUCUCUGAAAAAUGGUCAGACUUCCGACCCGUGACCCCAGCGGCCUACUACUAGGGUCAUAUACUAGGUGGAGCAAGUAUGGCACUUGCUCCUUGGACCGAUACAACGGUUUGGAUUGGACAUUUUUGGACUGUUCGUCUAGUUGAUGUAUUACAUUUACAAUAGCGGUAGUUGCAUGUGUAUUCUAUUUACUUUCAGUUUACAUUGCUAAUGUAGAUCCUUCUAUAGUAUAUUUUUUGUUAACAAUGGGUACUCUUGUCCUCAUCGGCUUACUGUAUCCACUAGGAUACUCUUUAUUGGUUUCUCACCCAUUCUUCUUUUCAGGUGAUCUGGGUGGUGGGAGUCGGGACGGUACGUAAGGCACAGUAGCUAGCGAGCGAUAGAACUCCCGACGUAGUGGCAUUAUUUGGUUCGAGACCCUACCCCUGUCCUUCAGUUAAUAAUUAGAAUUAUUGUGGUUCAAUUUGGCUUGGACUUUUGUUAUGAAUUUGAUUUGGAAUUUUAAAUAAUGCUGCUUUGGAAACAUUGUGAAUUUAUGGAAAAUAAUUUUCUACUUCUUGUGGUAGCUUACUUUCAAAAGAUAAAUAAUUUUCAUGUAGGAAACAAUUUUCAAAAAGAUUUUUUCGGCUUUUGUGAAUCUAGUGUUUCAAAACAAAUUUUUCGAGUGGGAAACGAUUUCAAAUAAUAGAUGGAUGAGCAUUUCUCUGUGAUAAGGACGGUUAACUGUAUGCUGUGGAAAAUGUAUGUGUUUGAUUGAUCUAUGUAUCUUGUGAAUUGUUAUAUACUAGUUAAGGACUCGCGCUUCGCGGCAAUUCGCAAUAAAUAAAAAAUAUAAAAAGUAAAAAAAUACUAUUUGUAUAAAUAUUUCUAAUAUUAAAGAUUAGGUCAAGUCUGAGAACAUAACAAAAUAGAUAUCCAUUCAUUAAUUACAAAAAUUCAAAAAGAUGCAUAAGUAAUAAGCAGAAUAAUUUUAUUAUAUUGUCAGGGUUCGCUCUUGCUAUUGCCUUGGCAAUCAUCUUCUGCAAACCUAUGAAGUUAACAUAGUAAAAAACCUAAAUCAGUUUAAUUGGUUAAUAAUUAUAAAGAACUUAUUAAAUUGAUGCAGUUGUAGUGGAAUUACCUAAGACACUUUCUGCUUGGUUGAUCCACAUUAGAAGUGAAUUUUGAUUUUUCUUCAAGGAACCUGGUAAAUUUUCUUUCAUCCUGUUAACCCAAAAUAAAUUCUUCUACAUGCGAAAUAAUGAUAAGGAAAGAGGAAAACAAUACCUCGAGUUGCUUAUAGCGCAGAAACCAACCAAUUACAGUAGGUGCGGCAAGAAGUCAAAGAAAAAUAUUGCAUCAAGUUUCUUAUAACGUAAAAAUCAACUAAGGAAAAUUUUCACUUAUAUGUAUAUGGAAAAUCUAUAAUUCCACCUAUGAGUCUUUUCCCCUGCGAACAAAAAACCACCCUUAUUUUCUCGCAAUUUUCUGCAUUUUCUAGGAGUAGUCUACUUGUAAUUUUACUGCCUUUUUUCUAGGAGUAAUUCUCUAAAGUAGAACCCUGGAGUCUGUCUGCCCCACGAGCAUCACUCCGUUGUAAACUACAUAUCCAUCCUUGUACUUUCCAUCAGUCAAUCAAUAGAAAGUCUUUUCGGCUCUUCAAGCUGACCAAGUCUCGUGUUGCUUUAGCCAUUCGGUUCUUCUCCCGGUUUAGUUUCUGGUAUGUUCUGUACAUUCGGCUUAUUUCAGCCGAACCAAACAGAUAGUAGUGGUUUUCGAACCCGGCUGGCUCGAUCCCUCGUCAGCCGAAUCGCUUGAUCUGUUGAAGGGCGCAAACUUCGAGGGUCACUAUCCACAGCCGUUCCUCACCCCGAUGCACUUCCCAAGGAGGAUCUUUGACCGGGUCAAGGGUCGGAAAAUUCGGCUACCAAUAAUUUUUGGCACACCCGGUGGGACGCAUUUUAAGGUAAAUUUAUAUUUUAUAUAAAUUAUGGCUGAUGAUAACGCGAUGAAUCUACGUAAUAGGGCCGUUCCUAGAAAUUCUGGGAGCGAACAGCCCAGUAAUUCGGAGAAUGCCGCAGAGCACCAAGCAAUCUUACCUACCGAGGGUGAGACCAGUGGUCAACCUGACAAACAGGAGCCUAGUUUGGCUCAGGCGCUUGGACAAAUGACUCGGGUCCUGCAAGUUUUGGACCAAAAUAGCCAUGCUAGUACUGCACGGAUAGACGCAGUGUUGGCCGCAAUCACAGCCUCUAAUGAGAAUAUUGCUCGAAUAGGGCAAUUAUUAACUCGUAAUGAGCAACCGAUAGCAGGCUUACAGGCGCUUGCGAUGGCAACGGUGUUACAAAACCCCGUAACACCGGUAAAUAGACAGCCCCAAUACCACGGGGCUCCAUAUCAGGCAUAAUAUAGACCGGCUGUUAUUAAUGCCAGUCAACAGCUAGAGAUAGUCUGGGGGCUACCACCACCUCCACCAGUAGCAGCAUACCAACCCCAAAAUGUAGGGGCUAGGGGGCAGGCUCCGAUUGCACAAGGAGUUAACCCCGUGGUACAAAACCUUGUUCUACCACAGGGACCGAAUCCAGCACAAGCACAAGUCCCUUUGCUGGGGAUUAAUAAUGAGAUAUAUGCACAAAUUGAAGAAGCUACCCGAAAUACAUUCGGAGUAGGAGCAAGGCCGGCAAUGCGGCUUGUAAUUAGAUCACCCUACUCUGCAAAUAUAGACGCAGAACAUCCAUAUCCGGCAAAUUGAAAGAUGCUGAAAUUUUAUAAGUUUUCUCGAGAUGAGACCGAGAACACGGUCGAACAUGUUGCAUAGUUCACGGCACAAUGCCGAGAAGCCGCAGCAGACCCAUUUUUGAAGUUAAGAUUAUUCAAUACAUCAUUAACAAAGACGGCUUUCACUUGGUACACAAGUUUGCCGGCUAAUUCUGUCCGAGAUUAAGACGAAUUAGAAGGUAAAUUUCAUGAACAAUUCUAUAGAACUGAGCCGGAAUUAUUGGUUGCCGAUUUAGCCCAGUUCAAACAGAGAACAGGCGAAUCGGUUGAUGAAUAUCUGAACCGAUUCAAGACGGCUCAGACCCGUUAUUUUGUGAGAAUGCCAGAGUCGGAAUUUGCCAAAAUGGCAUUUAACGGCUGGCAUUUUAAAAUUAAAGAUCAUUUUGAAGAUAAGUUUUUUCCAAAUCUCUUCGAUUUGGGAAUUCGAGUUGCUCAAUAUGAGUAAUUUCGAAAGGGUAACAAUGAAGAUCGGCCCAGAUGGAGCCGAAAUAGAGAAUGGAACAAGGGAAAGAAGAAAAAUGUCUCUUUCCUUGAGGAGUCUUCGGUUCAUGAGGAACUGAAUUCGUCUGAAGAGAAUGAGGAUUCGGCUAAUGAAGCCGAAGUAUGUGCCUCAGAGAUGGUGAAAAACCGUCAACCAUAUAAGUGCGCUUUGUUAAAACCCGCUAAAUCACGCGAAGCAAAAGCGCAGGUUUCGGCGUAUACUUAUUCGUUUGAUGUGUCAAAAACCGAUCUUAUCUUUGAUCGGUUGUUAAAAGAUGGAAGGAUUCAACUACAAGAGGGUCAAACGAUACCUCCCGUAGAAAAAUUGAAACGUAGGAGAUAUUGCAAAUAGCACCACUCAUGGAGCCACAAAACAAAUGAAUGCACUGCCUUCAAGAGGCAAAUUCAAAAAAAAAAAAUAAACGAAGGUCAGCUCAUCUUUGCCGACCAUGAAAAUAAAAAUAUGAAAAAUUGAUAAGAACCAUUUUCCAUCACAGGUCAACGUGGUGAUUAUGAAAGGAAAAGAAAAAACGACUGCGAAAAGGCAGAUCCAAGAAGAAAUAGAAGGGGUCGGCUCAUUCUAGCCGACCAGGAAGAUGAAAACAAUAAGAUUGACAAAAGUUCGUUUCCUUUUCAGGUUAACAUGGUGAAUGUUAAAGGAAAAGAGAUUGCGGACCAGGCGACUGCAGAUAACGUGGCAAAUGCCAAAAAAAACCUUCGGCUUUGCAUAAGGUGCAAGGCCGAAAUGACAAAGAAGGAUUGGGAAGCUAUCAUCAACGCCAAGAAAAGUGGCAAUGAGUGGAAUGAGUUGAUGCGUUCCCCGAGGAAUGGGAUGACAAUCCUGAUGGUAAAGAUCAAGAAGAGGAAGGCUCAGAUGAAGCCUCCAACGGAACGGAACCGGAAGUCGAUUCGGUUCAACAUAAAAAGGAUUUGUUGAUGCAGAAAGUUCUGCAUGACUACUACCACAACCGACGAGAAAACGACAGAGCCGAUGGAGUUUUCCGGAGAAACCAUUCGGCUCGAGGCCAAGGUUCCCUGGGUAUCGGCCACACUGGCAGCAUCAAGCCAAGCCGUGACCAGAACCGGAAUUCGAGGGAAUGACCGAGAGGGACAUAAAAUUCCUUGGUCGGAGACUAGUCAAUGAGCUCGGCAUUCAGCCCUUGCCGAGACCCUGGGAAAGAAGAGAAAUACUAAAAAAUUAUUUGAGAACAGUGAAGGUACCGGCAAAUGUGCCGGUAGAUAAAUGGCAUGAAGUAGAAGUGAAACCAUCGGCCAGAUGGCAGGGGCCGAUGUUAACAAAAACACAAAAGCGUCGGCAGCAAAGGAUGCAAACCGAGGUGAGAUAACAACAUGAUGAGGCAAAAGGGAUAAGGUUGAAUGUAUGGAGACGACCUGAUGAACCCCCACACCAUUUCUGCCCGAUGCGAAAUGAUCAUGAGGUAGGCGGUUCAUCGCCUACCCCGUGGCUAAAAUCAAAGAUUGAAAGGCCAAUAUUGGCCGAACAUGAAGAAAAAAUGACAAGGAGGGAGUUAGAAGACAAAAUAGCCUUCCUUGAAACGAUCAUCAAAAGAGAAAGAUGGCCUCCUAAGGAGAGAGAGGCUCGGAUGGAAAGCAACUCUUCAGCCGAGACGGCCAAGGAGUCUGAGGAGAAAAAGCAGAGAGUCCAAGAAAAAUCGGCUGACGAGGGAUUGGCCGACGUCAACAUGGUGUAUACUUUGCCUCAAUCUUUUAGAGCAGAGCAUACAGAAUACGAGAAAUUCAUAGAAGAAGAAGAGUUUGGGCUCACUGUGGCCCAAUUACAAUUAGAAGACACUAAACCAUCGAUGCAUUGAUUUUUGAGAAACCAUCGGUUAUGCAAACGAGGUUCUUGAGGCCAUUAUUCAUUAGGGCCUUAAUCGAAGGUUGGCCGGUAGGUCGAGUCAUGGUAGAUGGCGGAGCAAUGGUCAAUGUCAUGCCCACUUCAUUCUUCAAAAAGUUGGGCAAGGAUGAAGAUGAGUUGAAGCCCACUGACACGAUCAUGACCGAGCGGUCAGCAAGCUCGAGGGGUAUUCACAACUAGGGGUGGAAACGAGCCGAGCUCGAGCGAGCUUAUGUCAGCUCAAAUUCGGCUUGAAAUUAAUUUUGAGCCUAAAUCUAGGCUCAAGCUCGGCUUGAAAUUAAUUCGAGCCGAACUCGAGCGAGCCUAAUUUCGAGUCGAGCCGAGCUCGAGCUCUAAACGAGCCGAUUGAAAUUCUCGACAUAAUAUAAUCAAUAGUUUAAUUUUUAUAGAAUAUUACCUAUAAUUUGAUACAACAUGUUCAAUAGUUCAAAAUACAAAAUAAUUGUAAGAAAUGUGAGCUAGGGUGACUGCCUGACUGGGUGAGGGUCAGAGAGAGAGAGAGAGAGGAAAAAAAAUUAGGGAUUUGGAAAUUUGAAUAUUAUCAUGUUUUAGGGUUAUGUGCAACAGUGAAAGUCUGAAAGAGAGAGUGUGUUAUGUAAAUUUAGAGUUGGGCUCAAUUGCACGGUUGUAUUUGUUGGGUUUAUUUUAUGGGCCAACAUUAAUGGCCCAAAUUAAAUUAAAGCCUAUAUAUAAUUAAAAUACAUUAUAUAUAUAUAUAUAUAUAUUUCGAGCUUUCGAGCUUUUCGAGCCUAAUUCGAACGAGCCGAGUAAUACUCAAGCUCGGCUUGAAAUGAAUUUCGAGCCUUUUAUUUUGUUCAAGCUCGGCUCAUUUAAUUUCGAGUCGAGCUCGAGCGAGCCGAAUAUCGAGCCGAACACGAGUCGAACGCGAGCCGGCUCGCUCGUUUGCCAGCCCUAUUCACAACCGAGAUCACGAUAGGUUCCAAAACUUUACAAACUGCAUUCUUUGUGGUUGAAGCAGAUAGUCAGUAUAACCUACUACUCGGGCGGGACUGGAUUCACGCGAAUGAGUGCGUGCCUUCCACCCUCCACGAGAAAUUAUUCCAGUGGAUUGGGGAGAAAGUUGAAGAAAUUCGGGCGGAAGGACGGCCCCAAAUGGUAGACAUCAACACCGAGGAGGUCGGCCACAUUAAUUGGGCCGACGCGGAUCCGGAUCAAAUUUUCUUCGUAAGAGUUACAGAAGAAGGGGUCCAGUUGAUCCUCACUAGAGACGAAGGAGCUUUGGUGGCAACCGAGGAGCCACCAAAAUGGUUAAAAUGGAAUGCAAAGGACCAAGAACCGAAGCUUUAGUGGAGCUUUGGCCAGAAGAGCCGAUCGACAAGAUCGGCUAUAUGAUAAAUUCGGCCCAAAAGGCCGAAGAGGUGGUGAGCAACAAGAAGGCCGAAAAGGCCAAUAAUGAAAUGAUGAAAUCGGCUGCUAAAAUCGAUUCACAAGAGGUGAUGAAACCGGCAGAAGAAGCCGAUGAAGAUAUAUCGGAGAAGCAAACAGGCGAACCAACAAGUUGAACUUAGAAGAAUCGCCUAUUAAAGUUGGUGAAAAGAAAUUGGAAACACAGGAUCCACUAAUUGAGGUGAACUUAGGAUCCGAUUAAGACAAGCGACCGACUUACAUUAGUGCUAAGCUUUCGGUUCAUCAACAGGAGGAGCUGAAAGGAGUACAAAGACUGCUUCGCCUGGAGUUAUGAAAAAAAUGCUAGGGUUAAAUCGAGAAAUAGUAGAGCAUAGGCUACCCAUUAAAAAGGGAUUCAAGCCUCAUAAAUAGCCGGCUCGUAGAUUUGAGCCGAGUAUUGUACUCCAAAUUAAGAAUGAAAUCGAAAAUCUGUUGAAGGCCGAUUUUAUUAGAGUGGCCCGUUAUGUUGAUUGGGUAUCUAAUAUAGUUCCAAUACGAAAAAAAAUUGGUAAACUUAGAGUUUGUAUUGAUUUUAGGAACUUAAACUUAGCUACACCAAAAGAUGAGUAUCCAAUGCCAAUAGCCGAUAUGUUAGUAGAUUCGGCUGCCGGUAAUGAAAUCCUAUCCUUUAUGGAUGGACAUGCUGGGUACAAUCAAAUUUAUAUUGCUUGAGGAUGAUGUAGCUAAAACGGCUUUUAGAUGCCCGGGAUCUAUUGGAACCUUUGAAUGGGUAGUUAUGCCAUUCGACUUGAAAAAUGCCGGAACUACUUAUCAAAGAGCAAUGAAUUUUAUUUUUCAUAAUUUAAUCGGCAAAAUGUUGAAAGUUUAUAUCGACGAUAUAGUUGUAAAAUCCAAAUUACAAGCCGAACAUUGGGUUGAUUUAAAGCUCGCCUUUGAGAGAAUGAGAAAAUAUAAGUUAAAGAUGAAUCCCUUGAAAUGUGCCUUUGGAGUUUCAGCAGAAAAUUUCUUAGGAUUUUUGGUACAUAAGAAGGGAAUCAAAAUCGAUAAAAAUAAGGCGAAGGCUACAUCAGAAUUGCCACAUCCAAAAAGCAAAAAAGAGUUGUAAAGCUUAUUGGGGAAGAUCAAUUAUUUAAGGCCAUUCAUAUCCAAUUUGGCCGGUAGAAUAGGAGUUUUCACUCCAUUGCUUCGGCUGAAAAGUACAGAAGAAUUUGUUUGGACGGAGGAACAACAAGGAGCAUUUGAAAGUAUGAAGAAAUAUUUAUCAAAUCCUCCGAUUCUCAUACCUCCUAAGCAAGGACAGCCGAUGAAAUUAUACAUUUCGGCUGCAGAGGAAAAUCUUGGAUGUUUAUUAGCCCAAGAAAUGAAGAAAAGGAAGAACAGACCAUUUAUUACUUAAGCCGACGGUUAUUAGAUACUGAGAAACGAUACUCGGCUAUUGAAAAAUUGUGCCUGGCAUUGUACUAUGCUUGUACAAAACUAAGGUAUUAUAUUUUACCAACUGAAGUGUCGGUAGUAUGCAAAACCGAUCUGGUAAAGUAUAUGUUAGCUAAACCCGUAUUAAAGGGUCGACUUAGAAAAUGGAUGUUGGCUUUGUCUGAAUUUUCUCUUAAUUAUAUUCCAGCGAAAACUAUUAAAGGAGAAGCAAUAGCCGAUUUUUUGGCUGAUCAUCCAUGUAUUGAAAUUGAAGAGCCGAAACAAAAUUUAGUCGGCUGUCAACCCUGGACACUUUAUUUGAUGGCUCAAAAAUAGCCGAGUCUGCAGAAGCUGGAAUAGAUAUACAGUCUCCUGAGGGAUAUUCAUGUCAAUUUUCUUUUGAGCUAGAUUUCGGUUGCUCUAAUAAUCAAGCCGCAUAUGAGGCCUUAAUAAUUGGUCUUGAAAUUUUACAAGUAUUGAAAGUCAAAUCGCUCAAAGUCAUCAGUGAUUCACAACUAGUAAUCAAGCAAGUCAGCGGAGAGUACCGAUGCGAAAGUCAAAAUUUACAAUGUUAUUUGAGGAAAACAGUGAAACUGCUUUGCAGCUUUGGAGAAGUUGAACAUUUGGCUAGAGAGAAAAAUAAACAAGCGAACGAGCUAGCCCAAUCGGCUUCAGGAUACAGAGAGCCGAAGCAAAAUUUAACAAAAAUAGAUAGAAGGCUUUUACAUUCGGUUCAUGUACGAGAACCGAUCAUUGCCCCUAUAGAAGUAAAAGAGGAUUGGAGAAAAUCCGUAGUUGAAUAUCUAGAGGAUCCUAAUCAAAGGUGUGAUUAUAAUAUUCGAAGAAGAGCACUCGGCUAUUGUCUAUUGAAUGGACAGUUUUAUAAAAGAACAGCCGAAGAAGCGUUAUUAAAGUGUUUAGGACCUGAAGAAGCUGUAUUAGUGAUGGGAGAAACACAUGAAGGCUUGUGUGGAGCACAUUUGGCAGGAAAAAGAUUGAGAUGGACAAUUCGACACUUAGGAUAUUAUUGGCCUGCUAUGCAUCAAGAUUGCAUAGAAUAUGUUAAGGGUUGUCAGGAUUGUCAGUUUCAUGGUUCGGUACAAAGAGUUCCUGCCUCGGAAAUGUAUGCAAUCAUUAAACCAUGGCUUUUUAGAGGAUGGGCCAUGGAUUUGGUUGGAGAAAUUCAGGCGAAUUUCUCGGAUGGCCAUAAAUUUUUAAUAGUGGCCGUUAAUUAUUUUACUAAGUGGGUAGAAAUAAAGCCUGCUCGGUUGGUCACUCAAAAAGAAAUCAUCGAUUUUGUUGAAGAUUAUAUAAUUCAUCGUUUUGGAAUUUCCGAGACAAUUACAACCGAUCAAGAAACAAUGUUCACCGGUGGACAGUUCGUUCGGUUCAUCGAAUCUCGGAAGAUAAGGCUACUUCAUUCGUCUCCUUAUUACGCUCAAGCAAAUGGACAAGCCGAAGCAGCAAACAAAGUAAUUAUAAACCUUAUGAAGCGGCAUAUUGGAAAAUAUCCAAGAAAAUAGAAUGAAAAACUAUCUGAAGUAUUAUGGGCAUGCCGGACUUCAGUGAAAACAGCAACCGGGAUGACGCCAUUCCAAUUAGUAUACGGCCAAGAGGCCGUAGUUCCAGCCGAAAUAANAAAGUAAUUAUAAACCUUAUGAAGCGGCAUAUUGGAAAAUAUCCAAGAAAAUAGAAUGAAAAACUAUCUGAAGUAUUAUGGGCAUGCCGGACUUCAGUGAAAACAGCAACCGGGAUGACGCCAUUCCAAUUAGUAUACGGCCAAGAGGCCGUAGUUCCAGCCGAAAUAACAGUGCCUUUGUUAAGAGUAGAAAAUCAGAAAGAACUAUCGGCUGAUGAAUACAGUGAGUUAAUGAAAGAUGAAAUGGAUAAGCUACAUGAAACUCGGUUGAUGGCAUUAAACCAUUUGCAAGUUUAUCAGAGCCGAGUACGUCAUGCAUAUAAUAAAAAGGUUAAAUCUAAGUCAUUUGCAGUGAGUGACUUGGUUUUAAGGCUAGUUUUCCCCAUCGGUCAAAAAGACCGAGUAUAUGAAAAAUGGUCCCCAAGUUGGGAAUGACCAUUUCAAAUUAGCAGAGUUAUAAGAGGAAAUGCAUAUUAUUUAAAAAAUAUAAAUGGAUCAGAAAAAGAAAAACCGAUUAACGAAAAAUAUUUAAAGAAGUAUUACCCAUCCUUAUAGAAAAAUAAUCAAAAUCAGAGUUAAAGGAUUACAAGCCGAAUCAAGAUAAUAAAUCUCUGAGUUGAUUCCAUUCGGCUAUCAGGUUGGCUUGGGCAGUUUCGGCAGCUUUUCUUCGGCGCUUCAUCAAGGGAUGCAUUUUGUAGAGUUGAGAGAGUUCCUCUUGAAGUUUUAUCCCCUCUUUUUUCUUAGAUUCCAAUUGCUGUUGCAAUUGAAGCCCACGCUCAGGAAUAUGGGCUACAGUUGAUUUGGCUGCAGCCAGUUCUUCUUCAAGAGUUAAAAUUCGCUGCUGCAAAGCCGAUUCUUGAUUUGCUAAAGUUUGAUCUUCUCGGCUAACAUCGGUAAUAGGAGCCACUACCUUAGGUAUAGUAUUCUUACGAUGAUCAACUUGAUGAAAAUGUUGAUCCAAAGAUAAAAACUCGGCACCUAAAGAUCGUUGCCGAAAUAAAAAAGGAGAAAGUUGAGACGAUAGAAUCUCUAUAAAACAUUUACCAGCAGAAGAAAUGUCUGAUCGAUCGGCCAAGUCAAGUGAAAGAGCGCACAGUCGAUCAAAUUGCUCUGAGUUUUGAGCCAAAUAUGGGAGACCUUGACUAUACAAUUGUAGACACUUAUCAAAUUGUUGUUGAGUGUCUGACGACAUCACAAUGAUAGUUGAAUCAUCUGCUUCAUUAGAAUUUGGACUCGAAACUAAAAGAGAGUGAAGAGUUGCAGACAGAGGAUCUUCUGGAAUAGAUGAUGAAGCUUUAGGAGGCAAAUGAGUCUCUGUUCGUGCUCCUUCAACGCCUUUUUUCAAAGGUGCAUUCACAUUUUCUCUUUCUGUUGUUGGCACUGGUGAUGCUGCACUACUUGUUAGCAACUCUAGGGUAUUUCUUUGAGUUGCCCUGUUCUUUUCUGCUUCUUGCCUCUUUUUGAGGCGAGCUUCACGACGAAGUUGCCUAUCCAUCUGCGUCUUCAAAGAAGAAGCAAAAUGGAUUCUUUCAGGAGAAGACUGUUUUAUUGGGAGGAAAAAAUAAAUAAAUGAAGAAACAAAAAAAUUUCCUCAAUCUCAAUCAGUUCGUUCGAAACAGAGCUUUGCUCAGCAGCCAAAGAUGAUACUUCAGUUCUUUCUCUUGGAGCAUCAGCCGAAGGUGUUCCUUCGGCUCUUCUUUCUAAAAUUGUAAUCGAAGGUAUUUCUUUGGUUCUUUUCUUUAAAAUUUCAGCCGAAGAAACGCCUUUGGUUUAUUGGGAAUACGAAUACGGUCUCUUGACGACCGACUUGCGCCGCUUUGGAGGCGGCGGAGGAGUAGAUUGUGUAGUUUCCGUCGGCCUUUUCUCUGAAGCUGGGACUGAUGGAGAAACCGAAAUUGACUGAAAAAAAGGAAGAGUAAGCAUUACAUAUGCUAAUAGGAGAAAAGUUAAAAAAAAAAGAGUCGAUUACCGAAGAAGGAUGGAUGUCAGAGACACAAUCGGAAGUCUCUUCCGAUUCUUCUUUUGAUACAGUGGCAGUGUCAUCCGAGGGACUUUUGCUCGGAUAGGGCACUGUAAAUAGAAGAGAGUUAAAUAAAUAAGCAGGAGUUAUGUCGAACAGAAAAUUUUCUAUGAGUAAGAGACAUACAAAUUGGGUGAAUAGUUUUGCGGUGUGCCUGUGAGGUAGACAAAUUGAAGGUAAUAUUGACAAAACGAUCCCAAUUAACGGUAUAGUGAAAACCUACUAUUCCUGUACAAUUCGGCCUGAAACUUAAUAAUUUGAAAAAUCACCGAAGACGAUUCCCCAUGGCCGAGAUUCGAUCAGCAUCGGCUAUAUUUUUGGUAGGAGGACGAUGAACCGCAGUAUUGGCCAUAAAGAGCUUGGCUAGAGCAGGGAUUGGUUGUGUAAAUCCGAAUUGACGUGCUGCGAACUGAGGGGAGUAAACCUUCGUGCUAGGCAAUAAUUUCGAGCGGAAUUUCAAACCAACAUGCAAAUCCCUUGUAGCCAAAAAAGAGUACUAGACAUCUGAAUGUUCGCCCGCACGGGAAGAAGCAGCUUCACCUUGAAUGGCUUCAUACCUAGCUAAAAACCAAGAUGGGCCGGUGACACGAUCAGCAAGAGGAGACCAAGAAAUAAGAAAAUGAGGACCUGAUUCAUAAAAAGCUUUGAAAUAUGUAAUAAAAUCAAGAGGGUGGCCUGAUGUUAACGGCUGAGGACAGCCGAGAGCAAACCCAUAAGAGUCAAAAUGAGCAGCCGAGUCUAAAUCUAGAGGUUCUCGGUACAAUUUAUGAAAAUAAAUUUGCAGAAACAAUUGCAAAAAUCAAAAAAUACCACAGCCCGAGCUGAUUGUUACACCAUCUCGAGAAGGUAGUGGUUUAAUGGAAUCAAAGAUUUCCCUAUAGACGAAGGCAAGAAAAUAAGGCCCUAGAGCUAAUCUAUUGCCGUUUGAUAAACCAACGGCGAUUGGGACAAAGUUCCGAUUGAUUUUUUGCGAACGAGUGCAGAAGAGAUUGUGGCAUAACCAAUAUAGGAGGAACACUGUAUGUUCUUUCCUAGUGACAAGGGCAGGGGAUUCGCCUGCAAACUUACGUAGAAACUUGGAGUAAGCCAAGUCAUUGAGGUCAAGAUAAGCCUCAAAGUCAGACACGCCAUCGGGAUUGUAAGCCAUAGAGAUGGUGACUCCAUGAGGACGCAGUCCAAUGAUAGCGGCUACGUCAAAAAGAGUCGGAGUAAGAGGCCCCCCUCUGAAAAGAAAAACGUUGGAAACGGGGGACCAAAAACAGAUAGCAGAAGCUAACAGAAGGUUAUCGGCUACAGGGGGCUUCGUAGAUAGCUGAAUAGCUUCGUAAAUCACGAUCUCCUUCCAAGAAUCACCAUAAACAGCUUCCACUUGGUCCAACCAACCCAAGUAAGCAUCUGAAACACUCGGCCAAGUUUGAAGGCUUUUUCCUGUCGAAGCCGAGGAAUACCAGGAAUGGAGAUGAAUAGAUUUAGCCAUUAAUGGAAGACCAUCAUUGGAGUAAGGAAAAUCAUCAGGAGUUGGAUCUUCAGUAAAGGAGGGACCCAAGGUUAAUCUAGUGGGGUCUAAAGAGAGAUAUGGUUUAAGUAAAGUAUAAUCCAGCGAAGGACGAGUAGGUAAAGGCGGGAGCGACGCCAUUACUCAAAGCAAAAAGAAAAAACUAUGGAAUGAAGCAGAAGCAGUGAAUGAAAGAAUAAAGAUUAAAAGAAAUUAGAGAAGACGAAGAGAAGCGAAGGAUGAGUUUCGUCUGAGAAGAUGAUGAAGAAAUAGAAAAGACAAAAGGAAUGAAAAACUUAACAAGGAAGGAUGAAGAGAGCCGUCGUAUCGAACCGUCGCAUCGAAGCGAGUUCCGAGGUCGGCUAUAAUGAUGAAUAGACGGCGGCAAUUAAGAUGAUCUGAUUAAUGCCGCAUAUGAGAAAAAAAUAGGGAAAGAGAUCGGGGCCGUAAAAAAAAAAAAUGGACGGCUAAGAUUAAACCGUACAGAGGAUCACGCCUCGGAUUAUGCCAAAUACUCGUACAGAGAAUUUGAAUUUAAUUAGACCGAGAACCACGCCUCGGAUCGCGCUUGUUAGUGAAGCGAUGGCGGGAUUUCGGCAGCAGAAAAAGUGGACGGUUGAAACGAAACCGUACCAAGAGUUUGGAAAGUAAUCGCACCUCGGAUUACGCCAGCUACUAAAGCGUUACUUUGAAAGCUGCCGAUGGGGCAAUUGUUGAGCCUAUUAGGCACGGACAGGUGGUACGCCGGUGUUCCCUUCAAAGGCAUCAAUCUGACCGUGCACCAGGAGCACCAGAAAAGUUUUAAAAAAAAUCGUUGCGUCAAUUGAAAGAAGUUACAGUAACCGCAAGCAGUUGCAUACGGUUCCGAUCGGCUGGAGGUGGUCCGGGAUAUUAGGAGAUAAUAGCUGAUCGUGUAAGAGCAAUAACUAAUCAAGGGGCGAUCUAUAAAUAGGGUAAUAACGCCCUAAAAAAGGGUCUUUUUCCCUGCCGCCCUAAAAAAGGGUCUUUUUCCCUGCGAACAAAAGACCACCCUUAUUUUCUCGCAAUUUUCUAUAUUUUCUAGGAGUAGUCUACUUGUAGUUUUACUGCCUUUUUUCUAGGAGUAAUUCGCUAAAGUAGAACCCUGGAGUCUGUCUGCCCCAUGGGCAUCACUCCGUUGUAAACUACAUAUCCGUCCUUGUACUUCCCAUCAGUCAAUCAAUAAAAAGUCUUUUCGGCUCUUCAAGCCGACCAAGUCUCGUGCUGCUUUAGCCAUUCGGCUCUUCUCCCGGUUUAGUUUCUGGCCUGUUUUGUACAUUCGGCUCAUUCUAGCCGAACAAACAGAUAGUAGUGGUUUUCGAACCCGGCUUGCUCGAUCCCUCGUCAGCCGAAUCGCUUGAUCUGUCGAAGGGCGCAAACUUCGAGGGUCACUAUGCGCAGCCGUUCCUCACCCCGACGCACUUCCCGAGGAAGAUCUUUAACCGGGUCAAGAGUCAGAAAAUUCGGCUACCAACAAAGGCAAACCCUUAACCAUUUUGCACCUUUCUCCUUGGUAAACUGUUAAAACAACAGCAAACAAAGAAGAUGGAAAAACUCGCAUUAAAGAGUAGAAGAACUCGCAUUAAAGAGUAGAAGAAAAUCUAAACUGGUCAUUUCUUCAAAUUUAGAGCAAAUUCCAAAGGCCGCUAUAUAGACAAUCUAUACAAUCUAUACAAUCUAUACAAUUACAUUAAAGGGCAAACCCUUAACCAUAUUGCACCUUUCUCCUUGGUAAAUUGUUAAAACAAUAACAAACAAAGAAGAUGGAAAAACUCGCAUUAAAGAGUAGAAGAAAAACAACAGCAAAGAAAGUCGAUGGAAAAAAUAUAAGGGAAUAAGUAGACAAAUCGAGGCAUCACAAAAAUUUCACCCAAAACCAAAUUGUAAAACCCAGGUAAAAGCAAGAAAAUAUUAAUAGCAACUCGGUAACUAAUAGCUGCAGGUUGCAGGGAUUGCCGCGAGACCGCAGUGACUGCCCUGACGUAAUUCGAACUGCCAUGCCAUUGCAGGCAAAUUCAGCAUUCGAAAACAAAUUCAGCAGAGAAGCUAACUCUCAUAAACUGUCCAACAGCAAAUAGAGAAAAAUCUGAAUAAAAAAUAUAAGAGUAUAAGCAGGAAAACCGAGAGAUUGCAAAAAUCUCAUUUUUAAAAAAUUCCAAAACCCAAGCCAUAAACAAAGCAACCAUCAUGCAUCCAACCAUCCAAGCAACAUGGAAAUCCAAACGCCAGACAACAUGAGAAGAGAAUAGGAAAUAGCUGAAGAAACCAUCAGAAGACCAGACCUCCGCUAUGCGGGCAAUCACAGCAUGAAGAAUAACAGAGAUAGGAACCUAGCUACUUUGCAAGUAUAAACCAGUGUGAGAACAAAGCAAAAGAAGAGAGAGAAGAGGGAAAGCAAGGCGCCGCGGCCAAGCAGCGUAGUAUCCUGUUACAACACCCACGCCGCGCAAUGAUGGGGAGUCAUACGGCAUCGAGGUUCACCCAUCUCCGGGAAGCGACGGCCCCGCGGCGAGCAUUACAUGCCCAAAUCUGCACUAGAGAAGGGCAGAUUUGGGGAGAUCUACCAGAUAUGCACUAGAGAAGGGGAGAAGUCAAUCUCCGGCCGAAUGGCAUUUAAUGCCCAGAUCCGGGGUAGAUAGGGGUGUGGUGCAGUCCGGACCUAUCUUGUGAGAACUGAGAAUUUGGCUGUAUAGCUAAACUCUUUGUUGACGAUAUUGUUGUGUGUAAUUAAUUACAUAAGCACUCAUCAAGUUUCAAGAGAAAACAAGUUAGGAAGGAGAAGUUACGUGACCUUUAGUAAUCAUUUAAAGUGAAUAGUAACCGGGUUUUUCGCAGAGGCCAAUGAGUAUAGAUGGCUUCGGGUGUGUAUUGGACUCCGUUUAUAGUGAUCCAAUAGCUCGUUUUCAAUGGUUCGACUGUCUUGGACCUAAUGGCACUGACGGAUUUGGAUUUUGAUGCAUGAUUUUUUAGAAAAAGGGUUUUUGGAUUUACACACACACACACACACACACACACACACACACACACACACACACACAAAAACUAAAACCAAUACGAUGCAAAAAUGAAAAAAAAAAAUCAGUAGAAGAUGCAUGAGANAUAUAUAUAUAUAUAUAUAUAUAUAUAUAUAUAUAUGUGUUGUUUUUGGAAAAUUGGAGAGUGGAUGAGUUUCGUCGCAAAUCGGCGACCACAUCAAGCGAAACAAAAUCAUGAGUUCGAUGCUCCGGUCGUGCUGAACGCGCUGGCGCAGUCCGUUUGCAAAUCCGACUGACGGAUCUCCCAAAAAAUCAAAAUGUUCGCAAAGGGGUCGAAUUUUGGCAAAACGAAAAAUUCGCAAAACACCCUAUAUUUUAUGUACCGUUUUGCGUGAAAUCGGGCGUGGAGGUAUAUCCACCAGAUUUACUCACGCUGUGAGGGACUCAGCUGAAAAUAUUGAUCUUUGUUCGGCUAAUUGCAAGUUGUCACCUUAUAUAUAUUGAACUAACUAAGGUUUUCAUGGAGAAAAACCCUAGCCCUAGCUCCAGCUAACUCCCAGCCGCCCCUUUUCCAUCACCCUCGUGUGUCGCGCGCUCCCCGGUCGCCUCCGGUCGACCAACCACCUCCUCAGCCACCAUCUCCCUCUCACAUUGCCACUAACUCAUCUUUCUCUCUGCUCGAGAGCUUGGCAGGUGAUCCCUCACCCUUGGGCUCUCCUCCGGUGACCCCCCAGACCUCCAGCAACCUCUUCCGGCCCGCCACAGCCGCCCCCGAGCUUCGCCGCCGUGAAUCCUACAGCAUACAGCCAGCUCGGGCUGGUGCGGCCGAGCCUAGCCACGCUACUUUCUCGGCCACUAGCCGCCGCCUCCGCCUCCUUCUCUCGGCUCCUUAGGAUGGCCGCCCCCCUCCCCCGCUUGCUCCGGCCAUCGCCGUGGCCGGAGAGGCGAGCUAAACCGAGGUGUGGCGGUGCGGGCUCAGUUUCUUCCCGCGUCGCCACCGUCGCCUCCCGCCGUCGGCUAGCGUGAAUGCCAGCUUCCCCUGGUGGGCCGCACCCGGUCGCCACCGGCGCCCAGUCGCCGGAGCCCCCUACCGGCCGGACUUGAGCCAAGCUAUCCCUUGACCCGUGCGGCUAGGGCAUCACUGCUCGCUGCCCGCUGCCGCCGCCGCCUUAUGCCGCCGGCCGACGCACACCCCGACCUUCUCCUGUUGGCCGCACUUACCCGGCCGCCGCCAGCCGUGCCCUAGCUUCCUAUGGCCCGGUAAGCUUUUAUUAAGCUGUUUGUGCACUACUCUAGGUUGUCUCCACUGUUUCGGCCACCCGAGGCUGUUUCGAUGCCUUCGGAGGUGAGCACGGUGAUCGUCGGUCAGUGCUUAUCACAGUGCUCACCACAUUUGGAGUCAACGAACCCCAGAUUGGGGAAUUAGAUGCGUUUUAGUUUCAAUGCGCAGUGUUCGCUGAACUUCGAGUUGCUACCGCGCCUCCCACAGUGGACGGUUGUGCUCCGAAUCAUGAGCACGGCCUCCGGCAUGUCAAGACCUGUCAGCACGUGUCUCGGCUGAUCUCGAAAGCCUUCGGUUUGCGAUAUCGAGCCAAAAAACUCUGUAAAUCUCAUAAAAUAAUAUGAUUCUACGUAUUAGUGGGGACUUUUAUGUAAUUGUGCACUUCGUGGCUGCUGUGGGCAGUAUGUGUGGGCUGCAGGUGAUCUCUGGACUGAUUUUCCAAGGUCUGAUGCCCUUCACGAAAAUCUAAUAUUGAUUUCAGUGCGUUUUUCGGCGAAAUUUACCGGCAAAACGCGAUUUCGGUUCGAAUUUCAUCCGACGGUGCCAGAAUGCCCUGUGUUUGGCCGCUGAGCCUUAUUGGCUGGUUUCUUAUGUCAUUUCGAGGGUUUGGAGACGAGGGGUGAGCGACAAUGGGUUCCGGUGUCGAAAUUGACACUUUUGAAAAUUCGGAUCGGAACGGUUGUCCGAUGAUAAUCAUUACGAUGUGAGUUUAUAUAUUUGCUGCCAAGACACCUUUAUU
rnacentral:lncRNA from 1 species